UAAAAAGAUUUUCAGUCUUGAACUCCAGUAUGCCACGUUUGGGUGGGUAAUUACAAGCAAUUAGGAGAAAGUAUGGAAUUAGCACAGUUUUUUGUGUGGGUGGCAGUGCUUUUCAACAAAAUCAAGGCAGAGCAUUUACACCCCAGGGGGGGCUAAAAUUACUUCUUUUCAGGUUACCUAAAGAUAUACAAAAGGCAAACGAAAAAGUGGACUUAUUUUCUUUUUUCCUGUUUUCUCUCUGUUGCUAGUGGAGUGGCAGGUACAGCCUGUGACAAACAGGGCUUGUUAUGUGCUCUAAAUCUGUCAAGGCUGAUUGCACUGGCCUCAUUUGACUAACAGCUACGUUGCAAAAAAACCCCAAAACAUUCAGACACCAUCCUCGGUUGAUGAGGAGAUUAUGAGACAAAAUAUGUGAUUAAAUCUUUAAAUCUACGGUCUACUGCCGUAGACUUGAAUUGCAUUGCUACUAAUGUGUUCCACUUUAUCAUAUUUGGUUCAUAUCUGUUAAAUACGACAAUCUAGCAGUAUACACAUGAAACAUGACUGCAUUGUAACUUUGUGUUGCUUUUCUGAAACAGAGUUUAAAAAUAAUAUAUAUAUUUUUAAACUGCGUUAACUAUAAUUACAAUAAUAACAAUAAUAAGUCACACAUAUCGUUAAAAAGUGAACAAAAUGGAUGAGUUUGCUGUCAAUUUGCAUGUGAUUAAAAAAAAAAAGAUUUUCAGAAAAUUCAUUCUUCAGGGAAAGACGAUUAAAAAAUAAAUGGGUGGGUCACUGUAGCCACUUUAUCGACACGGUGCCAUAUAUUAUCCUCCAAAUAAGAAGCUUUAACAACUUUCAUCUGUCACUCCACUAGCAAAAUAAUUAUUUCCAGACCUCAGCCAUCUAAAACCCUGCCAAAGCAUUUUACUCUCGGUGCUAAUAGAAGCUUUUAUCAUUCUUUCAUUCUUAAUAUCUUCUCUGUCAAACCCUCCCUCUACUCAUGUUUUACUCAAAGAAAUUAUACUUGCUUAGUUAGAAGAAAUAUAAUGAGAUUAAAAACCAAAUAAGAUCUACCCAGUAAAGUGGCAUGGAUUGUGUCCUCGUAAAAAAGGUGAAUUAAAUAAUCAAAAAGGUGGUUUUCCUUUUUUGGUUGGCUUUCGAAUUCACAUGAUCGGACUUCCCUUAUUUUCUGUGUCAUUGCGAACAGCGAGUGGCGUGAGCUAUUGUUUUCCAAGGAUUACAAUCACACGGAACGAGUGGAUCACGGUGGAAUAUGAUCGCGUACCACUUCAAUGCUUUAAUGCUGUUAGGGGGGAAGAAAGAUAAUAAAAUCCAAAAGACACACUGGGCCUCUAGUAAUACGAAAAAGUAGGAGAUGUAGGGAUUUAAAUGAAGGGGAUUAAUCUUGGCUGGUAGUACAUUUGGUCAAUUCUAAAAUGAAAGCUUUGUAUGACAUCUCAUGGAUUCAGAAUUCAUUUAGAGGCAUGUAUAGCAGUCUCUUUGCCUCUCUCUCUUUCUCCUUCAGAGGCAAAGGGUCGAUGAUUAAAUGCUGUAGUCUGUGGGAUGCAUCAACCAGGGGGCGUACAACGCAUCUGUUGUGUUAGUCUCGCCGAAGCGGUCGAAGCGAUGGCAGGGCUCCCAUGCAGGAAUGGUCUCAGCUUCUGUUUUCCCAUUUAUUUAUUGUCAUCUAUUGGACAUCUAUUUGUACAAUUUCCCACAAAACACGAACUGGUUUAAUUGGAACAAGCUCCACUCCGUUGUUUGAUGUCCGUCAAUGAUAAAAUCCCGCUGUAGCGUUUAAUCACAUUUAGUGCUAGUCUAAAAGAAAGACUUUACAGGACAACAUGGCAUGAGUUUUAUUUCUAACAUUUGCAACCUGCUAUUUUAUAUUAGCUUUGCCAGUUGUUCCAUUUAUUAUGAAGACCUGAUAAUCAUAAUGCAACAUUUUUAGAGAAGGAGAUUCUAAACGUCAAAACCAAACAUUCCACUCCGAAAUUAGCUAAAUUAGUAGUGUAAAGUAAGAAAUGAAGUAAGUACAUUAAUGAGUACUGCAGUUAAGUAGAGGCUUUAGGCACUUGCAUUACUAUUUUUAGUUUAGAAGGCACUAUUUUAUUUCUUUACUUUAAGACAUUUGUUUUACAGCAAGAGUUACUAGUUCCUUUGCCAACUAAGCAUUGACGUCAACUCAUCCAUUUACAAAUUAUGAUAGAUUUUUAGGAAUUCAGUAUCCUUGCUUUCACCUUCUUCCCAGUCCUAAAUUAUAUGAGUGAUUCACCCCUCUGACGUUGGAAGACAUUUGAUUUACUGGGGAAACGGGCAUCCUCUUAAGCUGGUUUUAUGGUCUAUUUACAUCAGCAGGUGUAUUCAUUCAUGAUGCUCUUUUUUGUUUAUAUGUUACUGUCAAGCCUUUUCAUAUGAGAUUCACACGACAGAUUCCCUGAUGUCAAAUGCAUCCAUGUUGGUGGGGAUAGUAUAGAUAUACAAUAUUAAGGAUACUGGUUCCAUGUCUUCAAGGGGUAAAACCCUUGAACCCAGAUUUUUGGCACAUGUUAACGGAGCUAUUAGUGUUAGAGAUGGCAUUAUCACCUGUGGCCCCUGUGUAGAGCAGUGCAUUACAGGAGAGGGGCACGCUCACAUCCACAAAUAUCCACCAAAGUCAUCCACGACGAGCACAGCUAUGACAACAAAGCAAGGAGAAGCUCUGAUAACCACACACACAGCGGGAGAGUGACUAGAUCCUCUGUUCAGGAAGACUUUACUCUGUUAUCUCUUCAUAGCAAGUUGUUGUUUGCUGAUCUCUUACAGUUCAUAAUGUUAAGUCAAUACAAUAUUUAGAUAAUGAGAUUAUGUACACAACCCCCGAUGAUGUCUAACAUGCAAUUCGUUGAAUGAGAUAAAGGUAAAGUUAACUCAUGAAGACAAUCCUCUAUAUCCUUUUUUAAAGAAUUGUCAUAAUAAUGACAGAUUUUCCGGGGCAUAUUUUUAAUAUAUUUUCCUCCCACUGCUCUUGUUAUGUCACCAGUCGGAAGAAAGUAAAAGAAAAUACUUUCCUUAGAAACUUAGUGGAAUUGAGCUGGAGAACCUCCAAAUUGGACCACAUGAAAGCACAAAGCAAAUCCUUGUAGCUACCGUACCUUGUAUAAAACUUUUUUUCUCAAAGCCCUCUAGUGUAUCAUUAUUAUAAUUUAUGGCUACGCAAAUCCUUUUACUUUAUUAUAGCAUAGAAUUGUUGCAUGUUUAUAUACUAUAUGUGCCGAGGUGCCAAAAGGCAUUCAUUUAGCCUCUACCUACAAUUUUCUUUCUUGUCUCCAUAACUGGCAACAUAAUGGUGGUGAUGCACCCUGCUUCAGCUCCGUGUAUCUCUAAGCGUGCAGCUGUCGCCGCCCUGCAUGCUCCAAAUAAUCCUACAUUCUGGCAGAGAACUACUAUAUCCUAAAAUAAUAGGCAGCACAUUAUCUUAGCUAAGAACAUAUUUCCUGUUUGUCAAGGGCAAUUUGGCAAUAGGCUUGAUGUUUAAGGACUCAUAAUCAUUCGAAUAGCAUCAGCUAAACGCCCUUUCACGAAUGUGCAAUACGCACACACAAACACACUCUGCUGCACACAGUGUGGUCUCUGAUUGAUUAGCACAGUGGCACUGGUACAAUAGCUCCAAGGGGGUGAACUCCUUAAAUAGGAGGUUUGAACGAAAAGUCAAGGCAAGCCAAGAAUUCUGAUCAGCUGCACGAAAACCGCUCUGGAUGAUGUUCAAAUACUAACACAUAAUCUUCAGAGGUAAAAAAAAAAAAAUGCAUCUCAGUUUUCAGUAUCUCCCCUGGAAAUGCCUUUAUGAAUAGCAUCAGUUUAAUAACAGUUUUCAGUUUUGAGUAUUAAUUAUGAGUUGUGAAUGUUGAGAACAGUUUCUAAACAUUUGCUCUGGUUCGUUGGUCAGUAGGGUAACGUGUAGUUUCUCAUUUUGUUUGUAUCAUGUAUGAGCAAAACAAUGCGCAUCACUCACGUCCGGCAGAAUUCACGGUACAACGACGGUAAUGUAUAAAGGAAUGACUUAAUCUGACAAUAAAGGAAGUGAAGAAUAAGACUGAGAGCAACUUAAAAUAGAAUACACAAUUUUACAUAUUUCAAAGAAUGACUCUAAAUUUUUUACACAUUCAAUUUUUUAAUGAGAAACAAUCAUUUUAAACAUAUCUAGUGUUUGUCUAAAGGAAAACGCAACAGGGGGCAAAAUAUUGGCCAGUUUCACCAAAUAUUACCCACUAUCUCUCUGGAUAGUACCACAUUUAUUUGAACGACAGGUGGCAUCAUCUUGUUUUCAAUCAAACACUCUAACUCUCCAACAAUCCAAAAAGCAGCGGUCCAAAUUCCUAUCAGUUGAUAUUGAAAAACUACAGCAAAUUAAAGAGGCGUCAUCGCAAAUGCUGGACUUUACCUAUAUGUAAAUAUAUGCAAUCUCCAUUACAUGAUUCAUAUUUGGGACCAUUUUACAUACAGUACAAUGCAUAUUUGUGAAUGGAAUUUACUAUAUGCAGUACAUUACUUGACAAAAGUCCAAGGCAACUUAUGUUUUUUCACAGAAAACUGCUUGGACAAGUGGAAAAUCACAUGUCUUCUUCCAGUGACUCCCUCCCCUCCCCUUAGUCAUCCACCAUUAGGCUUGCGUAGUAGCGAAACCUGUUGGCAGUCUAAGCCAUGCUGCUACCUGCUGGAAUGUAACUAAGACAAAGCUCCUUUAUCUACCCUGCUAGUCCUCUGUCCACAGCACACACUUUACUAUAUUCUGUCAUUUUACAGAUGCUCUUAUCCAGACAGAGAUAUAAUGAGUGCGGUCAAAUUAAGUCUCAUGUUUCCACUUUGCGAAGGUCAUAGGGCACUGGUGGUGGAGGUCACGUGAGACCCGUUUGGAUGGCAGACUUACUUUAUAACGCCUAGUUUGGAUUUCUUUCCCUCAUUCUCGUCGUUGCUGGAUUUGUUAUUGUCUAUCUUUUUUUCUCCCUAUCUUCAUGUCACAUUACAUUUUGAAAGUGAAUCCCAUAAAUACUGACCAUAUAUUGAAGGAUAAAUUACUUAUGACGUCUAUUUUUUCCUUAUUACCAUUAAAUGGAAUUCCAAACUUCAUUUUGCAUCACUAAUGGGAAUGUCAUACAUUCUGACAAGGCUUUUAAAUAUUUGACAGAGACAAAGGAAAAAUGAGGAGACUGAAAAAAUGUCUUAUUUCCUUAAUCCCUUCGAAAAAAAUAUAAUUUUGUGGAUUUCUUACCCAAAUCUCACUUUUGAAAUUCAGUCUGAAUUUUUAUCUAAGUAAACAGGCCUGGGAAAUUAAUCUCCUGAAGACUUGACAGGGUCACACCCAGACCCACAGACCUUCCCAGCAGGUGCCCACUCUGUGCCUUUAUGCAGCUGUUACUGUGGCGUUUCUGUGAGCAAUGUAGAAAUGUGUUAAUAUGGUUAGUUUUCAGAACAAUGUUUUACAGUAUUUUAUUCUGCUUCUACCUUAACUGCACAUUUUAAUUGUCCUAGUGGAAGUUGCACUAAUGACAAAAAAAGGCCAGUUAAAUAUAAUCAAUGUGGUUAAGCAGUACAUUUUUUUAUUAAACAUUUACUCAAUAUGUAAAUAAACUCAAACGAUUUUCCUAAUGUAAUCUGGUUUGUUUUUUCCCAGCUAAAAGAUUUUUAUUCUCUGCUUUUGUUAAAUUUCGAAGCACCAAACUCUCAGUUGUAGAUUACUUUCUGUCUUUUAAUGACCCUCACUGGUUGAGCAAUGAUUACAAUGUAAUGUUUUAAAGGUUAGCCUUAAUUGAGGCAGUUUCCAACAUAAGCAAUUACCAUGGAGGUCUUCUAAAUGAAGCUCAGACACAUUGCAACGGUGUGAAUAUCUGUGACUGGUGGCUACAAACACAAGAUUUGGCAUUGUCUCACAUUUACAUAUUCUCUUCUUUCCUGCUACCAAUGCGCACAUGAUGGCAUGUCAACAGGCGCCCACACAUGACAAGCAUACCAUCCUGUGUGGGUGCGUUCAGAGUGUCAAAUGAAGAAAAUAAAACUAUCCCCACCCCACCAACACACUCGGUCAGUACUUUUGAGUGACAGUGUCCUUGUGAUUCAAGAAAACACUAGUUUUAAUACAAAAUGUUGAAGAGGUAAUAUAUCACAGUGCAACAGUGCAGCUAUUUGGUAAAGUAAAAAUGUGUGUGGGUGUGGCACCUUGAUUUCGCCAUAGCAGUCAACAAACCCCCCAAAAUAUGUUGAAUCCAGAAAUACUUCUAAAAUAUUGCUAAUGCAAUGACAUUUUGAAGAUAAUGUGACAUAUUUCUUAAUGAAAGUAUUAAUGCUGUGGAAAUGACCUAGUAAAAUUCAUCAAUAUUCUUCAAUAUGAGAGGUGAAUUUGAGAUGUGACCGUUUCCGUACCUCCUGGCCCGUCAUCAGUCAAUCAAGACUUCUAACCAGAUGGAUUUUAUGAUUCAUUUGAGGAAAUUAUUUAAGCAAAGGCAAGUCACAUAGAGCUGUUUUAUUGGGUUCGGGCCAAGGCCUCGCAACCUACACACAACACAUAACGAGCAACACCAUCUCACACCCUGUACACACACAGCCUCUCCACAGGCAUGCCAGUACUGAGCGGUGCUUCCACCGUAGCGAAGAAAGGAGGGCCAAGCAGCAACUGGGGCAGCGGGGGCACAACCUGUCAGGGAGCUGUGCUGCCAAGCCUCAAAUACAUUUUGAGGUAGCCUUGACUGAAAGUGACUUUCAAAGUUUAUCUUAAUAUAGUAAAUACGUGCUGUAUUUGUAACACAAUGAGCUUCAGCAUGUAUUAAGAAUACAUGUUCACCAGCUUUGUUGGUUAUGUUAGCAUGGUCACAUGCAAAAUGUUUUAAUUAUUAUCUGAAGAGGGCCUUAAAUGGUCAAAAUUGUAAGGAUCUUAACACAUUUGAGAAGAGUACGUGUUGGUGCCAAAAGUUGCCCUAUUGAAGAUCUUUAAAUAUUUUAGAAAAAGUGGCAUCCUCUGAUAAAUUAUGAACGUCUGUAAAAGAACUAUGGCAAUCCAUCAAGUACUUGUGGAGAUAUUUCCCCCCAAAAUAACUAUCAAUCUCUUUCUUGUGCAACAAGACAAGGGAUCACCAAAAGUAAGGUUCACCCUGUGGGGGCAAAUGAAUGAUAAUUAAAGUUUUUAUGGUUUGUUCAAUCCAAUUUGUUCUUAAUAUUGCUAUCUCCAUCUGCAGUAUGCCUCCAUGGAUUUCCUAAACUACCUCUGCAGUUCAUCAAGUGUGUAAAUUACCAAAUUUGUGGUGUCUUUUUCUCUUUCCCAGUGGCUUCACCCAGAGAACGUUUGGAAAGUCUAUCUGAUUUUACUUGGAAUUGCAAUAGCCAGACCACUACAAGUCAUCAAUCAACCUGGAUUUGUUGGACGUUUGAUUGAAUUUCAUCAUUUCCUUCAGUCUGAGAGGUUCUGGAGGUCGAUAAACCAGAUAUUUGCGCAACAGCGUCAGUCAAAUGAGUGGUAGAGGAAUGAUAUAAAUGGAAGAAUAUAAACUAAAAUCUUCCAUUUCCUCCUAUUUGUAUACUAUUGUCUCAGGAUGUAAUUCAUAUGAACCUAGUGUAUACUUGUCUUGUUCUUAAUUGUUACAGAAGAACAAGAAAAGCGUUUAACAAAAGGAAUAUACAGAACAACGGUGCUAAAUCGAAACAAAAUGUCCAUUACACAGUGUUACACAGAUAUGUUUUGAAUAUCAAUAUAUCAACAUGCCGUGUAAACAAAGCAGCAGAAUAUAUUUUUAACCCCUAUUGGAGCUUGCACCCGGCACUAAAACAUUUGCAUUUCAGACGAGUCCUUUUUACCACUCAUUGUCUCACCUUCCACUUGCAAGGAAUGCAGAAUUCUGGCAAAUAUUGUCUUCAUAUUUCAAUGUGGCCCUUGCCUGCAUAUACAAUAACACUAAACACAUUGUGGGUUGUUGUGUUGGUGAAGUUUCCAAUGCAAUAGCGAAUUUCACUUUUUCCUAGUUUUGGUAAACUUUGCCUACCCAUAAUACCCAUAAGACCAAGGUGUGGAAAAAAAUAGUAUUUAAAAAAUCUCCUCUUUCGAUUAAAAAAAUGUCAGCAUCAUAUCACAGCAAUGUCGCACCCAUCAUCCUUUUAAUUAGCUGUCAAAGUAUGACAGAGGAGCUCCAAAAAAAGAUGCUUCCCUCGACACAGGAAAACAGAAAAAAAACCCGGGAAGGACGGUUCCUAGGAUAUUUCUCUAAAGUCUAUUUUGGGGCAACAGUUCUCUUGGAUAGUACGUGUAUACAUCUUUGGGAAAUGGUGAGGACACAAAUACAUCACACAAUCCAGUGAUUGUCAAAACAAUUGUAUGUUAUUUUAUGAAAUGAUGUAGAGAGUAACUUCAAACAGUGGUAAAAAGUUCCUAAUAAGCCAAUGUGUGUGUUACAUGCCAGACAGGGACGGUCUGCAUGUGUUCUUGUCGUUCUCCCUCCUGCUCAUUGUUUCUCUCUCCAGGUGAUUACGCUGAUUGGCCAACUCCAAACACAGGUGGAAAGCAAUCAGCAGUCCCGGUGGCAGUCCAUAAAGGAAGGACUCCUGAGAAGUGAAAGGGGGGGGGGUGUGUUCUGUGCUGUGGGCUGGUGGCCAGGCUUCCUGUCCGUGAGUUUGUGCUGUCUGGUAGCAAAGCUGGAGUUUUGUGAGGUUGAGGACCUUAGUAAGUUGGGGUACCCUGUACAUUUUUGCACGUAGGUAUACCUUUGUAUAGAUACACCAGGUGUAGGGGUUGUUGCCUCCUGUGUAACGUUUUCCUUUAGUCCUUUUUAGAGAAGCGGGUAAGGUAUUUUGUUUGACUUGUUUGGGAUGAAGAGCCAGUGGUGAGCUAGGCCUCGUUUUGUUAUAUUCAUUUCAUUUGUUUUGCACAACCUGUAGGUCCCAUCUUCCACCAUCUCCCUCCCUCCUGUUGGGAGCCAUCUUUGUGUGUAAUAAAAACCAGCAAGACCCCUUUUACCCUGACUCUGUUGCCUGUCAUUUAUUUGUCGUGUGUCUACAACCUACAAAAAGGGCCGUAACAGUGUGUAACAAAAAUGUGACUUUUAUUUAUUCCGAUUCUUUUUCAAAUGUACACUUUCCGAACAUAGUUUCCCCUUCAUAUGACUAUAGUAAGAAUUUCAUGACUUUUUUGCAAAAUUAUUUGGGAACUUUCGGAACUUUUAAAAAUGUUCUUUGACAUGCUGGAUGCACAAUUCUUUCAACUGCCUGUGUGAAUCCCAGCCGGCAUUGGGAAUAGGGCUGCCAGAAGAUGUGAUAGAUGCAACAUGUAACAUAAAUCACUACGAUUUUAUAUCAUAUUUUGAAUCAUUGUGGGAGGAAUUGGCGCAGAUUUGUUGCAUAACUGAGUCAAUUAACAUCAUAUAUACUACACUAAUACAAAAAAAAUUACAAAUUCUCAACAGUGAUAUAUAUACUGUUUUAUACUGUUGAAUACUUUGAAAUACAGCAAAAGUUGAAGGCUGAGAAGAAAACUAUUUUACAGCAGGCUACCGUUUAAACUUGCAGUAUAUUACUGCAUUUAUUACUUAUUCAGUUGACUAACGUUAACUCUGCCCGUCACUCGCAUCAUAUAAUUACAUUGCAUCAAAAGUCUAGUUCUUAUUUAUCACAUUUAAUCUAAAGACUAAAGAAGAUCUAAAGAAAUCCCUAGACAUCGAUCCCUGAUUAUAUUUGGGGUGAAAAAAUGUGACAAUUUUGAGAGUCUGAACCAAGCACCAAAUUGGACCUCACACCACCUGCUGCUCCACCUCACACCACCUGCUCCACCAACCAUCCAUCCUGCCCCUGUGGCUUACUGAACAAGGUAACGUGGAUAUUAUCAAUGUCAGCAUUACCGUGUUCAGUGAUUUUGUGUUGAAUUUACGUUGUAUUGAUUUUUACCGAUAACGUGACUUGGUAUUUAGAGUAUGUCUCCAGCAUGCGCGGCGCUUCCAGCUAACGUCACUCUUGAGUGACAACAUUUAACAUCUGUAUCUUUCUGUUAAACCACAUUACCAGCAAGUUAUUUCAUUUCCAAUGACACCCCAUUUUAUUCCUCAGUUGAAUUUAAUCAAUAAGCAAAGUUCAGUUAGCCAAAGUUAGCAUGGUCGUAUUUAGCUAAUGUUAUGUUAAUUUAAUUUUGUUAUUUCAAAUGUCCCGCGUAAUUUUGUUAUUUCAAAUGUCCCGCGUAAGAUAUGAUCCUUUAUUCACGUUGUGAAAUCUAAGUAGGGUUAUUUGAACGGGCUGGACUGUGUUACACACAGACUUUGGGACUUUAUGUAGCCAUCUGCUUAUUUCCACACAGGACCUAACAUUGGAAAAAAGGAACACCAGGAUGCAGUGUGCUAUCUCUUCUUCCUCUCUAGGUAACACUUUUAACAGUAUAAUGCCUUUUCUCUGUAUAGAAAUGGCAUUAUACUGUUAAAACAAGUUUUUUUUGUAGCAUAAAAAUGUGAUGGCUACUGGUCAGACUGACCAGCGCACGGAAACAAGGCAGACAUCGGACACAUUAAAUUAGGUGAGUUUGUAUACGUUUUUUGUUUAGUUUAUUAUGCUUGGAUAAUGUGUUUUUUCUCAUGUGCUAAACUGAACAAAAAUAACAUUUUUUUCUCCUAGUUCUAAUUAGUAAGUGUUUUGGUGUAGUCGUACUGCAUCCCAGCUGGACUUUUAAAUAACUUACUGGUAAGUUAUAUUCACUGUGCAAUUGUUUUACUAUUUGUCAAAUUGUCCACCCGCUGAUGGCAACAAUAGCAUACGUUUUACACUGCAAGAAACCUAGACCUAGUGUGUAACACAACGCCAAGUGCUUUAAUUGCAUAAGAGCAACUGUAAUUGAAAUAAAUACAUCUGACCUGCAUUACAAUAUUUAUAAUAAUACGGGUAGAUGAAAUCCAGCCUUCUGAUUGGUUGAGAGUGAGUCACGGAGUAAAUUAUUGAGCGAUACAUUUUUCUCAACCGUCAGUUGACAUUUUAGCUUUUAGCUCGGUGGCGAUUGCCGGAAAACACCCGGAAAACCCACAAAUGAUCGGUUUCAGGCAAUGCAAGCAAUGCAACAAUUAAGGUGGACGUCAUCAGCAAUGUGAAUGAAUGAGAUGGUGCAGGACCCGAUUCUGUUUACGUGAACGGGGACUAUUUUUUCUCUGGACUACUGAAAUGCGAUACACAACGUUUGCUGGCUACAACUAGUUUGUGCUGAAAGGCAGCUAUUUACUUACUAUUUAUAAUUUUGCUGGUAACCAUAAAAGCAAUAAGGGACUUGAGGACGAUAAAGUACAGCCUUUCGUACCUUAUUGCUUUAUUAUAUUAGUAAGACAAAAGAAUUGCUUAAAUGUUGCAGUUACCCCUUUGUGAUUUGGAAAUAGUUGUUACCUCAGUUCAAAAAACGGAUAUAAUAUUGAUUUCCAUUCAAGACAUUUCCCACUAAAAAGUUAACACUAAUACUGUUAAACAUCUAAAAUAUUCAUAAUGACUGUAAUUAGCUGGGUGUAAAAUACUAACAGUUAAAGGAUCAACGUGUGCCUAAAAUGUGUUAAAGUAAGUUUUUACACUCAUCUAGCAAAGCAACAAAAGCCAUGAAUGGGCUUACACAAAUUUCAAUAAGGCCCAGGCUUCAACAGCCUAUUUUUGAUUUACGUAUUUAAACGCAGUUAAUCCUUAAUGCAUUAAUCAUCAAGGUAAUAAAGAGAUCACUGUUAGCUAGUUAGUUAUUACUUGAAAUACUGGCUUCACAGAAGGGAAACUUUGCCAAGGCCAUUACCAGAGAACAAUGCAACUCUUCAGACGUGGAUCCAAUGUGUAUACUAUUAUACAAAGAUCUAGAUGAUGAAACCAGCUGUGCCAGCAGAUGUUCGUUCGGAAUUCAGCUUCUCAUUAAGAGGUGGGGGACAGUAUGAGGAAACCAGAGGGAAUCCUUUUGUGAAGAUUAUUGGUGUAUCCUCCCGACCGGCUCCUCUAAGCUUGAGAUGUCUUUUACACCUAAUAAAUCCGCUUGAUUGGUCAAUAAUUAAAAAAAACAAACAUGUUUUUGUUGCACAGUAUAUGCAUGUCGUGUGGUGCUAUUUUAUGCAAGGGCUAGUAAGUUUUUAAGCAGUGUAAUCAUUUUAUUCUGUGUCUAUGUAGGAGAGGCUUAUGAGUACAUCUGCAAUAACGUACACCGUGGUACUGAGGUGCAACCUGAUCGCCGGGCCAGAGUUUUGUCAAACAGAAAGAUAGCUGACAGAUCUUAGUUUUUACUGAGAUUUCAGAUUGAGCUUUGUCUGUAAAUAGGAAACAACAUUUGGUAAGUGAACUGCUUUUGUGUUUUUACAUUUGCAGCAGCGUGUUGAUUUGUGUAUCGUGUUUUUUUUUAUUAUGUAGUUAAUAUUGUUCCCCUUAAUAGCCAACAUUUUGAAAACGAGAGUCUCUCAGCAGACUGCGAUAACUUUCAAAUGGCAACCGUGCGUAACAUUAACAUCAAAUGUGAAGCAGUUUUUAGGCAAAUAUUGAAUUCAAUAUUAAUGUUGAUCAUUCUAAACACAAAAGUUACUUACUGAAUGUGUACAGUGAGACUUUUUCAAUAUGUAGAGUUGUUGGUGCUUAGCUCAUGGACAUACCUUAACCAUAAUACGAAUAUUGCUACCCAUUUUAGUGUAUUGUAGUUAUUUGUUGAGGUAAUUAUCUACAUAUUUACUGGCACGUAUGUACGUAUAGAUCAGACUGAAUCGAAAUAGCUCCAUCUGAGCAUGGUUAAACUUUCAAUCUGGCAGACAAAAACAUGCAUCAGGACAUGAAUCUACAGACACGAGACGGAUGAACAGAGGCUAUUCCCAAGGUGUGUUGUUUACUUGAGGUUGAGCUGCAGCAGCUGAGCUUUGUUCAUAAAAUUACUUAAAAUAACCAAUUAUCCAUCUUUGGCAGUGUGUAGGAACACUUCACAAACCCCAGAGGAUGUCUGUAGUCCUGACACUGACAGAAACAACUCAUGUCACACAGUCUAAAUCCAGCAUUUCACAUCCUUCCCUUUUUCUUCUCACAUUCUGUGUUCUCUCUGAUAUGGUCUAUGUGUCUUUAUUUAUGUCUGCUUCUACGUUUUUGAGUCUGUUUUUAUAUCUGCAGGUCUAUUGUAUCAAAAGUGAGUAUUGUGUUAGCAUUGGCUUGAACAAAUGGGAGGCGUAAGCAUUCAAUGCAGCAAUAACAUGAUAUCAUUUUUGAGGUGUAGAAUACAGUGAUUUCUUGAUGAUUAGAAAAGUUGGGCAUUAUUUCAGAAUGUAUUAAAUAUCGGACCGCUGUAUCAAAAUAUAUUACCGGAAUUAAUUCCAUAUUAGAAUUUAGAAUAUCAACAUUAAAUAUAUCAUAUCAGUGACUAAAGAUUCUGAAUAUUGGGGUAAUGAAAAAUCUGCAAUCCCUUAAUUUUAUUAUUUAUUGAAUUUGACUGACUUAAUAUAAAAACCUUUGGCCUGGAGGUUCGCAUUUGAUUAGAUGUCUUACAGCCUAUGUUGGUUUGGAUCAUCUCAUAAUAUAUUUGAGAUGGGGCACAAAACAUUUAAACUAGAAUCUAAAUGGUUAGUUUUUGAUAUGGCAGCUAACUGCAUGGAAGUCACAAAGAGGCUAAAGUCUCUACUAUUUUGAUUUUUAGCUGUGGUCUUGAAGACUACAUAAAAGGUUUUCCGGGUUAGUUUUCCAAUCGAAACCAACUACCUGAAGACUUCAACAAAAAAAGAAGAGCAUUGCAAAUGACUGAAUGAUCCUCUGAUGAAGCGAAAAAGAAAAGAAAAAACAUUAAUUGAUUGUGAAAACAAUCAAUAACUUGUAGUUAUAUACAGAUCAAUUGGCAUUUCUUUCAACCUGUCUACUCUGGAGUGAAUGUAAUAUUUGGAGAGGCCUCUCUUUUGCGAGAUAUCCUAAAAUACAUUUCUAAUAGCAGAGAAUAUCACAUCAAUUCACAAUUUUCCCUUCCAGUGCUGCCUAUUGAAUUGUAUGGUGGCAUAUUUCCAUGCUACAUAUUAAGCAAAUGUGAUGGAUGGCCCUGGAGAGGGAGGUAGGGGAAUUAAAAGAAAGAGACCUACAGCAUGUUGAAAUUACGAUGAAAAUAGGGACGACAAGCCCAACCGGGCCAGGUGGGUUGGACACGGUGGUGAUAGAAUUCCACUGGGCAUCCUUCUAAUUAGUCCUGCUAGCCCGAGGCGGUGCAUUGCCACUGGCCUUGUAGCAUACAGAGCUCCUGCAAGGGCCUCUAAUAGAAUGAUUGACCGCUCUGCAAAAAACACUGAUGAUGGUUAUCAUAAGCAUAGCACUUGCAUUUAAUUACCCAGGGGUUUACAAUGCAUGAUAAAUAUACCCACAUGCAUACAGAUCGAUAAUUGGCAUUCACAGUUUGGAAUAUUAACCACCCAAGCUUUGGAGCUUUUGUAUCAGUCACCCAUCGAUCACACACACAUUUCAGGAAUCUAGAAAUACAGUAGGAAAAUAUAUGCCCCACUACGAAUCAACCUCUGUUAUGCUCUCUUGUUAUCUCUCACAAAAUGCGAUGGUACACUAUUAUUUUCUUAUUGGCGGUUUCACAAAAAUGGGCUGAUUUUGUUCUGUUCCAUGAGUGAUCAUUUAAUUUGACUUCAGGAAGGAAACACAUAGAUGUGACUACCUAGGAGCUUUUCCGUAAUUGGGCCAGUGAGGGAAAUCUGCCAUUGAGAUUGUGUCAAAGUGAGUGUGCGCUACCCCAAUGAGCAAGUGGUAAGGGGACUUUAGGGCCCAGCAUCUUAGCAGCAUCUUCAAAAAUCGACUUCUAUUUGCAAAAGGAAGGAUUACGCCGUUAAAUGGAAGGCAACCUUUCUCGAAGGUGAAGGUGUCAUGCCUCCCUCACCAGGCUUAACAUCUAAUUAUUCCGAAUAAGAUAAGUAUCAAGGAUAAUGACAUAAUGAACACAACGGUAUAAUGAGUGAAGUAAAUGCUCUUCCUGUCACAUUUCCCCCUCUUUUCAGUCGAUACCAAAAUUAGUUUAUGAGCAGAAAUAAAUUAGUAAAAUCCCUUGAUCAUAGACACAAUCAUGGAGGCCAGCCUUGGUGUCGCUAAACGUUAAUCUCACAACCGUGAGGCAAAUGUCAAAAUGAGUUGCUUUAAUUGUUCGAAGGAUGUGAAUACAACCAUUGUCACUCUAGACUAUUCCUCGUAUGGCCUCAUUAAUUCAGAUUAUAUUCACACCUCUCAGGGUUGUUAUCACACAUUUUAUUCCUGUUUUUCGUGUGACAGGUCACAGGAAUGCAAAAGAAAUCACCAAGGGAUCAAACCUGGAACUGCGCUGUCGUUGAACACAACUCUUUUUAAUAUGUAGUUUGAAGUGUUGAUUGUUCUUAUCUUGUUGCAUCUGUUUCUUAAACAAGAAGCUUUAAAAAUGUAAUGUUAUUCAUCAGUCUUACCGUAAAUGUUGAAUUACUAUUGGUUUCAUACUUCUGAAAAUACUAAAAGACGGAAAUAUCAACAUGUAUUGGUGUAAUGAUUAUUGCCAUCUUUAAUUAAAAAACAAUUAAUCAUCUGGUGAUUUUGCAUUAAGAAUUACUCCAACAGUACUUUAAUAUUUACCUAUUUUCCAUGACAUAAUCAGCGUCAUCCCGUUUCUGUGUUUGAUACAAAUUCAGCACACACAGAUUGUCUUAGCUCCUUUCUUGCUCUCCAGCAUUCUUAGGUUCAUGUUAUUUGUGUAUCUUAUGAUAUGUUGAGCAAACUGGACACAUCUGACAAAGACACAUUUGUGUUAUUUUUCUCAAAAGAGGGAAGCAGUCCAAAGGAGUCUUGAGCUUGGCUUAACCGAUUCGAUCCUCUGGCACAGUUACACUGAUCUUAACUAUUGCAUAUUUUAAUGAGUUUGCCCGGUAGUCAAAAUAAAUUGAAUUAUCGUUUCAUCAAACAUCUGUUUGUUUACUUGUGGUGUAAAUGGAAAAUGCAACGUUUCAGUGGACUUUUUAAUGCCUACCCUGCCGUCGUCGUCGAGUUGCUGCCAACGGCGUUUCCCGUAAAACCCGGAUUCUAAUGAGGACGUCCCCAGUCAUCAGUGAGUUUGCUAAUACUUGUCAAACGCUGAAAAAGACACUCUCCGCUCUCUAGUUGGCGGGACACAAGCUCUCAGCUGAGCGCACACACACACACAUACACACACACACACACACACAUUUAUGGAUUUUGGGGUGGGACUGAUACGGAGAAAUGUGAUAUCAUGCUCUCAUUGUUUUCGAGAAGAGGCUUGUGCUCAUAAAACGUACAUGCGUAGCGUAUCGUAACUUGCAAAUCAAGAAAGGUUUUAAUUAACAUGAAUUAGCUGCAGCAAAAUAACCAGCUGAGACUAAAUGAGUAACCUAGUCGGCUGUUUGGCAGUCAGUGUUAACGUUAAUAUCUGCUCUCUAUUGUCUUCUGGUUCUCAGCGUUCUUUACGUGCACGUAUGUAGAGCUGGCAGAUGUGCUGUACUGAUAGGCAGAGGCAACGGGGAGGGGUCAAUGGCUGUGAUUGCGCCCACCUCAAGUCAAUUUAGAAGGAAAAAAAAACGAUCUACGUUGUUUUAUGGGCAGGUGAGAUGAAAAUUUUGAAUGAAUACAGACAAUUGUGUCCACCCAAAAGGCACAUCAGUCCAUCCUGAAAGUGCAUGGACUGACAGAUGGCCAGGCCUUCCCUGAUUAGACCCGAUCCAAUAUGCGGUUGACCUGGAAAGACCUGAAUAGAGACACACCAUCAAAGCAGGCAGCAGUAUGAUGUUAUAUCAAUUAUUUAUAAAAACACAUGUGAAAUUAAGCUAGAAACUAUGUCCAACAAUAAUGUUUUCAGGAUUCAAACACCAUUAAUUAAGGUAAAUAAAUUCUAUUUUCACUUUCUGCACCAGUAGUAGACAUUCAGUAGCCAACUGGGCAACAGAAGGUGAUCAUUUUUAAUAAAAUGUAAUCCGAUCUGAUGACAUAUCUUUUACAGACUUGAAGCUGUUGGUAGUAAAACGAGACCCAACCUGAUGAAGCACGUUAUGGACCCAAUCUGACUUUUUUUCUUCAGAACCAAAUGUACAGAAGAAGAACUCCCAACGGAGGGUUCUUCCCUGUCAAUCAGCAGUUCCAAUAAAAACGCUACAGUGUGACUCUUUAAUGAAAGUUGGUAAAAUAAUGACAUCACUUUGAAUUUUACCCUGCAACCUAAUUUCAAAUAAAGGUUCGAAAUACAUGAGGAAAGAGCGUGCACACCACACACAGACAGAUGCUCACGCGUUGCUUUUAAUGGCGUGUCUCAUUGGCACACCACAUUACAAAUCACUUACAGCGGGUGUGAAGAUCAGUGGCCUUCUAUUCUCUCAUUAAGGGUAAUUAAGUUGGAGUGAUGGGUGUAGUUGGUGGGGGAGGCCUGAACCUGAUUGUCCACUAGUCUUUCAGUGUGAAGUGUUGAUGAUUCCUUUGGACACAGCAUUGGACAAGGAGCUGCUGUAGGGAACACUCUAAUCAGCUCUGGCCACACUCCCUAACUUUAUUCUCAUUAAAGUUGGCAAGUGACAUUUAACUACUACACCAGGGACUUCACAAUGCAAAUAAAUGGUAACUUCAGUGUUGGAAUUAUAAUGGCCUUCUUAUUCCACUUUUAAUGACCCAAUCUAGAUUUCAAAGUCACUUCCUCCGCAGGUCGGCUUGCUCGCUCCUACAAGCCUUCUUAUUGGCUAAUAGAGAGCAAACGAUGUCAAUUUAACUGUGGAGGGAUUCUCGGCGGUAAGAGGAAGAGGCUAAAAAGUCAAUAACUUACUUUACCUCCUCCACUCCACCUACUUCCAAACUGUCUUUAUUCAGGCCCAUUUGAGUAUUUUCAUGGUACAUUUAAUACAGGAGUCUCUCUAAUCCCCAGGCCCACCUAAUGAGACGGUAAUGAAAAGUUAAUCCACAUAGCUCAACUCCACCUAGCCUUUAGCUAAUGCUGCUUUUAACUCCAGCUCUCAUUAACUUUUAAAACAUGUGCCAUUAACAGGUUGGUAGACGACCCAUCGGCUGACUUUCCAUCCAACCACUCACUGUGUCUGAACUUUAAAACAUAAUUAGGUUAGCGAGAGAAAUUCACACUGACCACCUAAUUAGGAUACAGUGUGGAGUUCAGCUGUCAGAGUAUCGAUUGGAUGGGGAUUCUCUGGCACGUGGUGGUCAGGUUGGACACUAAACCCCAGCUGGGGUCUGACCCUGAUGUCUGACAGUCUUUUAAUUGUUUUUGAGGAUGCACAUCUAGACACAGAUAAUAGUUUUCGCUUAUCACGUUUGCAUUCUUAACCAGAGGGACCAUUAGGAGGUACAAUAUCAAAUAUAAUUUUCUUACCUACGGGACUAUUUGUAAUUUUUCACAGCAACUACAAAUAUUGAUACGUUGUUGUGCGAAAUCCACUUUCAUUAGGAAAUGGUGAAUAAUUUAAGAGGAUGAUUAAAAAUAAAUCCCAGCCAACCAACAUCAUAAGCUUUAGGGGGGGGGGGGUAGGCUAUCUAGUGAUUUGAAGUAGACCCUCCCACCUCUAAUAAAGACAGCGUCUGUUGUCUACCAGCCCAUACAUGACAACACUGGGGCAUAAAAUAUGUCUUACUGAACCAACGAUAAAUAGUGAUUUGAUUACAAACGGUUAAUGCAAGGGCAAACAAGUGUGUGUAUUUUGCAUUCCUGGGGCUUUCUUGACAGCUCUCAACUGAUUACCAAUUCAUCAUUUUUGUGCUGUGGUGACAGAUAAUUCUACAGCACUGUUGCUCUGGAGAAUGAAAAUGAGGUUAAUGAAUGUGGAUCAGGCUAAUUCCUCUGUCCUUGCCAGACCGCAGGCCUAUAAAAUACCCAUAUAUGCAGACCUGCAUGGGUAAAAUGGUUUGUAGCUAAAUGGAAAUUUUCACAGGCCCCAUGGGACAGUGAGCCUAAAAGCACAUGGAGCUCUGCUGUCUUUGCAGUAAUAAAGAUAAUGUCUUUCAGAUAUUAAAAACAUUUUUAAAAAGUCAUCAGUUGCAUGAAAAAAAAUGCACAUCCACAUUUAACUGUGAGGGAAGUCGUGUAACUUCUUAAAACUAUUUAUAUAUCGUAUACCGAUUAUCAUUUUGGGGGAACAAUGGAUGUUACAGCAUGCCGGCUCUACACACUGCCGGUUUCAUAGGGACAUGUAUUUAUGUAAGAAUUCUUAGAUACAGGCUCUGCACCUGAGUGAUCAGCGGAGACCACAGGCUGUUGUGUCCAGAGAAAAACCUCCCCUGUUAACACUUUUGAAAAGGCGGUUUGAGGCUCUUUCUUAUUUGGACUUUAGCACAUCCUGUGCCUCUGCAUGAAUCAAAAUGAAUCACACGGCCCAGCCUUUGGACCCAAACACAGUCUCUCUCGGUCUGCUCAAAGGGUAACAACAUACUACACAUGUAUGGCAAAUACGGCCUGAAAACGUAAAUCUGUAUGGUGUCAGAAUCCAGCUUCACGUUGUGAUACCUACAGGGUACGUCGGGGAGAAAAAUCGCUUACGGAAUCACAGAAGUUCAGUUGCCUCCCACCCCAGAAGAAUUAUCUUCCUCUCACCUUGGGGGGCUGCCGGUUAUCUGUUAUCACACUCGCAACUACAGUAUUGCAGUUCGUUUUACUGUGUAGACAUCCGUCUGGAUGGGGAGAGAUAGCAUUUGAUGCAUUCCCUUUUGAUUCAAGUCGGAUUCAGUGACUAAUUUGUGGGCUUGCUAUGUAAUUGCACGGGCACGCUUGCGCUUACAAAAUCAACCUAUUGGUAGUAGUCGGUGUGCACUGCCACCCUGCUCCUGCCGGACAGUAAAUUUCACAUAGUUAGAAAUCAAUUUAUGGAUCUUUACUUCGACUGUGUAUUUGGCGAUGACUCUUCUGCCUGGAGGAUCAUUCUAAUCACAGUACAUCAAAAUGUUCUAAUGAGAAGAAAACACAAAUUCCGGCACAUAUGCAUCUUUAAAGAGGAAGUUUUCAUUUUAAUUGUCUGAGCUCUCCAGUUACACUUUAUAUUAAGUUGUUAAUUAGAGUGAUUAAUUCGAAUAAUUAACUGUUACCAUUAAUCAUUGUGAAAUUAAAGUCAAUACUUAUCUCUUUUCAAACGUUGGAGUGAUGAAUAAAGGCUUGCGACUGUUGAAACUUUGAUCUUCUAAUGUUCUUGGAAUUCGUUGAAGCACUGAAAGCAUGACACCAACUAGUGAUAUGUAAACCAAGUCAUGAAGUAGUAUGCCGUUAAAUGAAGAGCAAUACAUCACCAGCCAACAUAUGAAAACCACAAGUUCACAUAAAUCUAUGAAGAUUUGGUAUUGCAAGAUAUUGGAUGGAAUGGAAUAUACAACACACCAAGGACUUUAAAAGAUAUAAAUGAUUCAUCGGCUCCAUCAGCUCCAUCUGAUCCAUCGAAAUCGAUUAGAAGUAGAAGAGAAAAAUGUCGAUUGUCAUGUUGAGAGCCACGUAAGAGGGGCCCUAACGUGUUGCCACAGCUGGCUGGGGAUACAGUGUGCACAGUUCUGCAGACGAAUGACUAUCUACGAGGGUACUAAUUUGUCCUUCUCCAGAAAUGUAAUAUCAGUGAGCGUAGGAACCCGGCGCUGCGACUGGCCACCAGCAAACUGUUGGGCUCAUUCAGAAAAUGGUAAGAGAAAAUGAGGCAAAUCAAAUGGUCCGUUAUGUACUGGGAGCAAUUCGCUGACCAUCCUACUACGGUGAUUUGAAUUGGACUCCCCUUUUUGCGCCUAUUUUAUUUUUAUUUGAUCUACCCUAAAUCAAAUUUCCCAUUAAAUUCAUGCAAUAACUUAACAGGAACACAAAGUUGUUAAAUAAUAUCAAUUUUAAAUGUAAAUCUAAAUGUUAUAUCUAAAUGUUAAAUCUAUAUGUAAAUGUUAUAUCUAAAUGUAAAUGUUAAAUGUAUAUCUGUAAAUGUUAAAUGUAAAUGUUUAAUGUAGAGCUAAAUGUUCACUCACUACAUAUCAGGCUUGACGACUGAACAUUACAAUAUUUACGGUAAUUCACGCCGCGGCAAGACAAGCUGGCAAGUCCGGAUGAAUUAGCUCUUGUUAUAGAAGAGGGGUGUCAAACUCAUUUUAGGUAGGGGGCCACAUACUGUCCACGUUGAAGUCAUGCGGCGGGGUUCACGGGCGCGGAACAUCGCCCUUGACCGGACCAUCAAGGGGGGGUUGCGCAACGCCCCUAAAUAUUGUAAUGUUCAGUCGUCAAGCCUGAUAUGUAGAGUGAACAUUUAGCUCUACAUUUAACAUUUAGAUAUAACAUUUAACAUUUACAUUUAGAUUUACAUUUAACAUUUAGAUUUACAUUUCACAUUUAGAUAUAACAUUUACAUUUAGAUAUAACUUAACAUUUACAUUUAACAUUUGGAUAUAACAUUUAACAUUUGUAUUAUUUAACAUCUUUGUGUUACUGCCAAACAUUAUCCAUGGAAAGGUUAUUGCAUGUAUUUACAUGAAUUUCUCUCUAAAUGUUUGAAAAAGUGACAUAUGAAUAUUGUCGUGCUUUUUUGUUCAUAUGAUAAUGCUAAAUGUAGCAAAACUGCGCAGGAUUUUAGAACGUGCGACAUUUUACAAACGGCGCCCCAUAGUUGGAGACAUUUUCCAACCGGCUGUCAGUGCGAUGACCAAAGUGCAGCUGAGUAAACAAGUCUUAUUGGGGAGGCAUUAUCUCUAUGGUAAGUGUGGAGGCCGAGGGGAAGGAAAUACCAAAGGGCUAAUAGACGGUGUUUGGCUCGCACUCCAUGAUUAAUUAAUUAUCAUUUUCUGCUCGAUGGCUCUCUUAGGGGUGCUUUGCUGCUGAUGUCAGCAUUUUAGGAGUAUUUCUUUGCCAAACCAUGUAAACCAUACAGUACACGGUCCUGGAUACUUCAAAUUACAGUCCUAAUUUCAUUGCGAUGUAUUUGGCACAUUCAAAGCAAAUCAUGUGCUUGAGUUUGAUGUUUUCUUGUUUCCGUAUAUGGACAUCAUAAUUUAUUAUUCAUGUCUUGACUGUCCUUCCAAAGGCAGAGCUUAUGAGUUGAACUUAACUGAGCUUCGAAUAGAACACUUACUUUAGUGGGAAAUGGAUUAUACGUUUGUUGAUAUUUUCAAUAAAAAAUAAUUUUACAACUUUUCUUGCAUCAUAGAAACUGUUAAUCAUUUAAUACGACGUGGGGCUUUGGAUGAUAGAGAUAUUUUUAUUUUUAAUGCCAUAUUUGCCUGCACUGAUGUCAUGGUCAAAUAGCUGUGGAUUAAAGCCCUGAUUGAGCAAUUGGUCCAACAAACAAGAUGAAAUAUUGGAAAACAUUCUACUGAUCUGAUUGAAAGCUGUGCACUCUCUCAUGGUUCUCUAUUGGGGGCACUUUGGCAGAUAAAAGCUAUUCUUCUAACAACCUAAUUUGGGUCAUUUCACUGGACCAGUCAUCUAAACAAGCUAACAGGCCCGCUGAGAUCUGGACAGAACAUCAGCUUCACUGUUGCAUAUGGCAUAAAAUUCUUCCUCUAACUGAAUAUCAGAGCCAUUCACAAGUCUCAUUGUUAUUACAGCUUCUAUUUGUUUUUGACUGCACACUAACUGUGUAUGUUCUUGAUGAGACAAAGAGAUUUCAUAUGAUUUACAAAAACCCUAAUACUUGAGCCAAUGCUGCGAUUAAUAUUAAAUGCUGUUUAGUAACACGUACCAGGGGCCAUAGGAAAUUAAAAAGAAAUGGUAAAUACGUUAACUCAACAAUCCCCAAUUCUGAGUCGACUGUUGCAGACUACUACUAUCAUAUGAGUAUGAUACGAGUAUGAUAGUAAUAGAAGAUACAUUUAUUAGCAGGCCUUCCGGGAUAAGGAGAAAUGAAGACACUGUUGUAUAUUUGUAAAAGGGAAUCGUUGGCAAUUGAUGUGUUGCACAUGCCACAUACUGUAUAUUAGCUGGUUGGCUUAUGUGAGCCGGAGCUCUCCUCCGUACACCAGUGCUGCAGAUCAAAGGCGGAUAAAGGUCUGUCCGCUUGGGGCUGGUUGCUGCUGGAAGCCCCUCUGGGGCAUAAGCAGGAGGACUUUGGGGAGCCUGCACGAAUGCCUCUGAUUACCUGCAGAAUCUGGCCUGGUGGCACCGCUGACAAGCGUUAAGAAUAGCUUCAUAGAAAUAGGUGAUCCUCUUGCUGAUGGUCUUGUUUACUUUUUUGGGUCAUAUGAAGGCAUACGUAUUAAACUGAGACUCGAUCAUUACUAUUUGAAAGUUCUUCACUUUAAACAUUUGAUAAAUGGCCUGCAAUUUCGAAUGUGCCCAUGAGACAUGCCAACAAUGCAAAAAGCCUGAUCGGAUAAGGUAAAAAACUGGAGUGGAGCUUCCACUUUAAAGAGUCAUGGCAGCAGGUGGGGCGGUUCUAAUUGGCUGCUGAAUGGAACAAAUGCUAUAAUGAGUGCAAGAUAAUCACUUGCUGACAUAAGCAAAAAGUGAGAGGGUGUAGAUGUAGCUGGGUUGUAGUAAGAACACUCUCAUAGGAUAUGAAGUAUAUGAAGAGGUAGGCAUUUUGCACUGCUGGUGGACUAUUGAAGCAGCACGGUUUCCAGUAUCAGAGAUGUUUUAUCGUGCUCUACGAGUACAUAAUUAGCAGUUCCUCAACACUGCAAAUCUCACUAUGACGCUCGAGGACAAAACCACUUAACGACUCAACAAUGCUUCUAGUUGGGAAAAAAAGAGAUAAUGAAAUAUACGUUUCAUACCAGCUAGUUUGAGGAACUCCUUAAUUGCUGGGGACUACUUUCACAAACGUCUCUGCGUCCGCAUUGCUAUUAGCGCAUUAAAGCAGCACUACGGAAAAUAAAAAGUGUUAUUUAUGUUCAGACAAAUACAGAGGCACUGUAUUUCUUCUACCAUUUGCAUUUCAGGGUUUUGGAUGGAACUUCAGUGACAAGAGGGCUUGGGCUAGCAAUACAACCUAUUUAGAAUUUUAGAAAUGAAUACAAUAUCUAAACUUUGAUCGUUCAGUGCUGCACAGAUAAGUGGUUAUUCACAGUGUGGGUGCUAUAUUCUGCAAAAAACAAUGUGUCAAUUAGCGAUUUAUACAAAUGUAUUUUCUGUAAAUGUCUGACUCAGCAGUUAAUAUGAAGGCACUAUGUGCUUCCACCCAAGGAGGGUGUUGAGGAGAGCGGCUGGUUCUGGAUCAAAUUAAUAGCAAACUAAUUGCUCCUCAAGAAGUAAAAAACUGCCUAUUUUCAGAGUCAAUCUGCUUCAACAGAUUGGCCAAAUAAUAUAUAUACUAUUGUCAUACAAAACCAGAUAGGCUCUUUCACAGAUACAGUCCCUGAAAUUAGGGAACUUCUCAUGCAAUGGGCCAUGUGUGAAUGAGAGCAGAGAUUGAUAUUCAUUCGGCUACCACAGUACGUUUGUAAGAAGAGCAACGCAGGGACAAGCAGGAAAAGGGUUACGACCAUCUGAAGAAAGACACUUAGAGGUGAAGGGAGAAAAUCUAUUAUAAGAUGUCUGAAAAUAAUAACAGACAUCUUCCACCCUGAUGGACCAUCCCUUGUCUCAACUACUCAGGCAUUGCCAUAGCAAGUGGGAAAAGUUCCUGAAUGAAGUGCAUGCCUUCAUGGUUAAAAUGCUUGAAAGGUAGUCCUGGUAACUUAGUGAGAUUUACGUGUGAAAGAGGCUUGUUUUAAAAGUUGUUGCGCAUUUCAAAUAGCUUGUCAGAAACUUGUCAUUUGUUGCUCUAACAGAGUAAAAGCGUCAUUCACAUUGUGGGUAACACUGUAUGGAGGACAGGUGGCAGCUGGGCCCAUAAAAAGCUGCACAAUGGCGUGGAACAAUGAUGAAGAAGAGAGUCAUUGACCAUUGGGGAGUGCCAUGAAAUGGCCACCAUGUCAUUGCACAAAGGCACUGGUCCAUUCAGCCUUCGUGACACCUGGAAGCCAUCACCCACAAACACAUGCUUGACUCCAGUAGCUAUACUUUAGAACUCUUCUUAUAGGCAACCUAAGGCUCUGGGAUUUUUUUAGAAACAUGUAAUGCGCAAUAUUCUCACAUUGCAGCCCAGUUUUUACAUAAGGUAAUUUUUGUUAGGGUUGCCAUCAACACAAGGUAUUGUGACAAUUUAAAUAAAGGGCAAGAUUAUAAGUUUUUUAUUUUUCAAUUGCAAUGCAUUUCGCAAGAUGUCCAUAAUUGUGUUUGAAAUAUAAUUAUUCCUGGUGGUAAAGCUUUGAUUAGAAGUCAACCUUAUUGUUCAUGUAAUUCAGGACAAGAACAUUUUGUUUCAAGCAUCAAGCUGGCAACAGCUGCACACUGAUUAAGAUCUAAACAAGAUUUAGGAAAUAAUAAGGUUUUCUUGACAGCACAGUACAAGUUAGAUGACGGUUGGGCCAACUUAAGGAUCGGAGUGCUUGUCCAGCUGAGAUGCGGAGAAGUGGUAGAACUGGCAGGAAGCUCCACAGGGCUUUGCUUGUGUCAAGCAGUGAACUGUUUGCAUCCACACAAGUUGAGAAGCUUGUAUUUUCUUCCAAGCCCUAUCAAAGAAGAAAGUAAACAACAAGUUGACAACAACCAGAAGCCGGUCCAUGUGCAUCUAGUCCACUUAAAGCAAAGGGAUGUGCACUGCCCUUUUAAUAAUCACAUCUUGAUACAAUAAUGAAAAACAAAACAUGUUUUUAUGUGUGGCCUAAUAGAAGACAUAAUCAAAGUUCUGCUCCUCAUCCAUCAUUAUUACUAAUACUCUCUCUGAGGAGACGGUGGUAUGAUGAAGACCUUACUUCAGGGAAAAUACUGUUUUACAUCAAUGCGUCGGUAACAAAUUGCAAGUGAAUUGGUCAUUUCCCCUUUGGUAGACUCCUUAGAGGGUGAAUCACUCCAAAUCACAUGAGCCAUUCUGAUUUACGGAGAAAUUCAGUGUCACAAUCCACAGAUAACACGUUUCUCCAGUUUUGCCAUAUGGGUUGCCGUUACCAGCAGGAGGCAUAAAAACAAAACAUUCGGUCAAGAUAGCCAGGUUUCAGCUGCCUUCAAAGAAUAAACAACACAAAGACACCGUUAUGGGAGUAACAGUCGGGUAGCGGGGCAAUGAGGGGAAGUCAGAGAGCUGCUGGUGCAAGGAAUAAAAUAGAAAUUAUUUGAUUUAGGCAACUAGGUAUUUGUACGGAAACUAACAAAGCCUAUAGGUUAACUUUAACAAAUAUUGUCAGUCCCUAUAGGAUGAAAUAGCCAACCUUCCGAAUUACUUGCUCUCCCUAAAUCGAAAUGUAAUUGAUUUAAAAUAAUUAUAAUGGCAAUCUGGAUUAAUUUAUCAUUUAAAUGACAGUAAACAUUUAAUUACUAAAACGUGAUUUAGUUUAACAUUACUUUUUGGUGGUAAAGGCAAACAGGGUGGUUUUACGACCCUAUUUCAAUUCCAGAGAGUGAAAUUAAAUUAAAAAACGCCUCGAUUUUGAUAUUCUCUGCAAUCUUGCCUAUGUAACGUUCUCAUUCUUAUUAUUUGGACAUUUGUUAUGACUGUGCAGAGGGAUGCAUAAGGCCUCGGUCAAUUUAUUUGUUAACAAUAGAAGGUACUCUCAUUCCUGUCCGGUUCCGUUGUAAUUUCUCGGAUUUUGACACUUAAUUUCCAACAAUGACAGUACAGUAAUUGCUCUGAGAAGUCAUGGUUGAGCUUUUCAAUUAUAUAAAAAUCCCACCACCCCGUCCAACCCACCUCACGCUACACAGCAUCCUGUCUAUCUACGAUGAAGUGCUAUUACUGACGCCUUUCAUUCACUCAACCAUGAGGUCUGUUAGGAAUUGCUUCACCACAGUCGGACCCACUGCAGUUUUUCAGAUGAACACGGUCUUCGGCUUUGUGUAAUCAAGGAGACAACUAUUGAGUGUUAGAUGCAAAUCAAUUUUGGAAAGAGAUUUUUUUCAUGUUUUGGUGAAUAUAAAUAUCAUUGCCCAUCUGUAAAAGAUAAGAUCCUUGCUAUUCAAUUUCAGCUAUUAUUUUAAUCCCACUAGAUAUCAAGAAAGAAAAAUUCCUUACCUCUCAUAAUUGUGUCCCAAUUUAGAGAUAUUGACUUGAGAGUGAGACAAAGGAAUAUAUUAAGGUAAUACUCGGAUAGUUGUUAUGGGUGAUUUACAUCUAUCCUGAAAUAAAAAAUAUUAUCAGCAAAAAGUGUUAUUUGAGUGUUUUGUUGAAUAUGACUGAAUUUUACGUUAUAUUAUUAUAUCAGAUAAACAGCCUACAUGCCAAUGUAAUUGUCAUGUCUCCCAACAUACUAAGAUUAUUAUGUUGUGCAAUAUCUAAUCAUCAAAAUGAACUUAAACUUGACAUCGGCCACUUUUUAUCAAACAUUACCAUGGGGAACAGUUCUGUUUUCACUGAAGGGCUGGCAGUGGCAGAUGUAAUUAGAUGCGGAUAAUUCCUCCAGGUGUUUAAUGGCUGCUCGCAAGGUCAGCACAGCCAUGUUUAGGAUGCCAUUCAGCCGUGAAGAGGAAGAGCCGGGCUUGGUUGAGUGGUGGUGUGAGCUUUGUCGUCCCCUAGGGUGACUCACAUGAGAUCCACCCGCACCUCUCUCCAAUUGUUGUAAAAUUUGACAGCAAAUCAAAGGGGAACGUUCCCUGUCCAAAGGCAUUAUCAGUGUGCCGUUGUGGGUUAUUGAGAGAGGCCGUGCUCCUGCUUUCCCUAAUGUUCUCCGUGUGAUAUAUAAACAAGUCUGUGAGAUUACAGCCGCAUCCUGGCAUAUACAACCAACCGGACUGAUUAACCUUGAAGACCCGGGGCUCAGUGUGGCAAGGGAGCGGGACGGGAACACCAGGGCCACAACUUAAAUGAAAAAGACCUGUUGGAGGAGCCGGAAGACGGCCACGCCGGCAAGAUUGUAAGGGAGGGCAAUCUAAAGUGAAUCUUUAAGCAGUUUGUUUGGUUCUGCCUUGUGGCAGAUACUCUGGAGAGAGGCUUCCCAUCUGUCCUGCUCUCACCUUGGCCGGUGUCUGCCAGCUUGUCACACUUGAGUAGUUGCUAUGGGCCAAGUCCACUGAGGCCCUGUCAUAGACCGCAGAGAGCAAGGCCCUAUCAUCAAUCACACAGAUGAGCAACACGCACCACAGGAACCUCUCUCCAAUGAUGGCCACAGAUCUAAAUUCUUCUGACAUGGAAUUUUAUGUAGGGACUAGCUGGAUGAUUUUAAUAACUUCACUAACAGGCAGCUUGAUUGCUCAUCGGUGGCUGCCAGUUUGAUAGAAGGCUUUUUGGUUGAACUUCAGGUAUACAACAUGAUGUUAGCACCUCAUUGAACAUGAAUGUAAUAGGCUAUGACAUUCCACAUCUGUAAGAACUCAAGAUAUCUUGUAUGAACCGCUAUACUUGAUCCUGUUCCUAUGAAUUUAAAUUGCACCAAUGUGUUGAUUUAUAAAGGCAAAGAAAGGCCUUCAAAUGUUAUGCAUUAUUUUCGUUUAAAAGUGUAAAACUUUUUUUAUUGUUCUAUUUGACGUUGUCUUUUGCAUUUUUCAAUUCAAUUCAUUUUAUUUCGUAUAGCCCAAAACUACAAAUUACAAAUUUCCCUCAGGGGGUUUACAGUCUGUACACGUGCAACAUCCUCUGUCCGGAAACCCUCACAUCGGCACAGGAAAAACUCCCAAAAAAUGAAAAACCAUUUCAAGGGUAAAAAAGGGAAGAAACGUUAGGGAGAACGUCAGAGGAGGGAACCCUCUCCAGGGAUGGACAGACUACAAUAGAUGUCAUGUGUACAGAAUGAACAAUGCAAAAGAUGUACAAUAUAUUCAAUUCCUAUGACGGAAAUGAUUCAAAUAUUGCGAAUUGUAAGCCAGGUGUACGGCAGGAUCACUGCAGGGACAACCACCAUCAGAUAGAACCACCUUACACAGAAACCUGUGGGGAGGCACAAUGACUUCAGCAAAGAAGCAAAGCGGAUAAUGUUGGUUUAUGAUGACAGUAAUAGUAAUGUGAUUAAUAUUUAAAAUAAUAAAAAUGAUGAUAGCAGCAGUUGUCAGCGGGGCCACGGAAGGAGGCAGGAACAGGAUCCAAAUAGAACCAUGAUCCAUGGAGACCUGUGAGGUGAAAAAGCACAAAUGCUCUGUGGAAGAAACAAAGUUAGUGAUGCGCAUUAAUGUUGACAGUAAUAGUGAUGGAAAUAAUAGUGGUGUUAAAAGCGGUAGGUAUCAGUGGGGCCAUGGCAGGAGUCAGGACCAGGGUCCAGACGAAAAUCUAUGAAAACCUGCGAGGCGAGAGCUUUUUACUGCUAUAUUAUUAAUAACUCUAACAUGGCUCCAGGUUAUCAAUGUCAGAAACUUGUUUUAUUAUCUAUUAUGGUAUUAUUAAAUAUUUUUCAGUAACCUUAUUUGAAGAGACAAGUGUGUCUGCUAAGACACAGACAAACACGUGUGUGUGAGACGCACUGCUGCGACCAACAAUGCAGACCAACUCGGAAAAAUAAUUUUAACCGCCUCGAAAUGAAUCUCAACCCACUUAACUAAACCUAAUUUUUCUUUAUCACAUUGAUUAUGUGAUUUGAUUAUGUUACACCUCUUCGGCCAGUCCUGCAUUCUGUUGCAGCGAACUGCCAAACCAGGUGCCGGGUUAGGGCUGCAUCUUCAAGAACAACCAUGGUUGCAGUGACUCACACUUUCUCACACCUUUUAUUGGAUUUUUGAUACUUCCAUUGACGGCCUGCUGCCUCCUGACUCACUGCUGUUUACACAGAUGAGUAUGCUCCCUUUUAGUGUUUAGGAUGGUGUUUGGCUAACAGCUAGUAGAACAACCGGUACACACAGCGGCGACGCUAAAAUGAAAGUAGGUGGAAAGACAGCUUCUUUUCUUUUUUUGCAAGAUGGCAUGAAGUAGUUCCAGGCAACUGCCUGCAAAUUAUGGGUUGGGGUUUAAAAAAAACGGUUUUGCUGCUAAUUAAAUAUAGUACCUUAGCCUGGGAACUAACAAGAGAUGAGAGGCCAUGAACUAAUGUCACAGCUUUCUACCAUGAUAAUAAUGGAACUCAUGCUGAAUCACCAGUGAACAUGGUGAGAUAAUAACCAUUAGGGAGACACAAAGAGAAUGUACUGAAUUAAAUCUCUGGGACGCAGGAGGUUUGUCUCUGUCUAGUAUGUAAGUCCGGUGAAAGUAAAAUGCCAUGUGACUUGGCCAUGCAUCAGGUAAAGAGGCUAAAGGUUUAUUCAAGGCACCAUUAUGUGAAAGUGUGAGCCUGCAUGGUUUAACACAAGGUCAAUUAUAAUGGAGUCGUGCUCAGGUUGUCACCAAACAGUGCAUAAUCAAGGGCUACUGCUGGGCUAACCGCUAAUCCAUAGCUGUGCACUAAAGCGUGCCAGGCUUGUAACCAUGGAUUGCAGUUCAAUGUGUGCCCAUGGUGCGGGUCUAAACCAAGAACCUGGAAGUGUGUGAGCCUGUGUGCAUGUUUUCCAUUGAGAAAGACCAGCUGUCAGUCAGGUAGUUUAUAAACACAAUAUAAGCCUUCGAUACAGGUGAAUGUCAUCAUAGGAUUGUCUUAAAAGCCACCUUUAAUCAGCCAGCCACCCUCUUCGAAAUAAGUCGGCUUGGAUGAGAUUGACUUCACGCAGCACACCAGGAACAGGUCAAGCUUUUUGUAUGAGGACUUAGACACGUAUGAAUUUAAUUGAGAGGACAGUACCGAGCAGUUAUAUGAGUGCAUCUGCUCACUUUCAAAGGAAUAUUUCGUGUUUUAUUGCAAGAGGUGAUUUUUUUCUGAAAUGAUUCAUAAUUCAUGAUUUGUUUGAUUGAUCUAUAACAUCCACUCAUCUAUAACAAACACUAAGAUUUUUUAUCAGUUAUUAAAAUCAUAUGGUGAAAGGAGUGUAACAUACUGUCAAUGAACAAUCAAUUAUACAUUUUAGAAAUGUUUUUUUGUCGACACUAAUUUUAAGUCAUUUUUCAGCCAAGCGAAACGUUGAAUCUUAAAAUGCUGUAAUAAAAAUAAUACACAGUCUAAUUAAUUCCAAAGCAAGUUGAGCUAACCACGGUUUCCCCGAAUUUGUGAUUAUUUCACAGAGCUCUCAAAUUUGAAAUGUUCCUCUAAAGUAUCUGCACGAUAUACACAGAAAUCUUUCCAUGUUCAAUCUACACCCUGCCGACUGCUUUCCCACUGUGAGCCUACAGCCAAAUCAGAGCAGCACAUCUGCCCACACAAGUCCACGGCAAGGUCUAGUACCCAGUAGCACAGUGCCAAAUUGCCAACUGUGAUACACAACUUUCUGCUUCUUACAGCCUGCGACACAACGUAAAUCCGUCCCUGCUGAAAACCUAGAUGUAUUUACUUGUCAUUGUGACAUUUGGCCUUGUCAGCCUCAGCUCAAAAAUCCUAGGGAUGUCUCCACUUAAAUUUGCCUCACAUGAAGACAUUCUAAAUGGGUCAGAACCCCGCUGGAGAUUAGCCUUGAACAGCUCGGAACAGGGAAAGAGAAAAAAGAACCCAUUCAUAGAGCCAACAACCUGAGAGUCCAAGAGCAUAUGAAAACAAAUGAGGAUACAAAGAAAGCACUUUAGAGACGUGUAGUGUUUCCAAAAACAAAUGAAAUUGAGCAACUGCUACAUGACGUUUGAAUAAUAACAGCUGCGCAACAAGAGCUUCAAACCAGCCUACCAAGGACAUUUUCCCACCGCUGUGUGUAUAUACAUCCACAUGCGUGGGCAUGUGCACGAAUGUGGCUAAGCUUUUACAAGUGUGUGUGUGCUCCUGUGUGGUAAAUCACCUCAGGUGAUGCCUGGACAAAUGUUAAAGCUAGAGUACGGGUCUUUUGCAUAUAAAUGAAUGUCAGUCACAUUCAAGCCCCGGCCAAACGAUUUCACACAAUGCUGAUUAAGCCUGCUGCCGCCAGGGAAAGCCCUCCUUUUUCUCGGUAGACCGAAAUUGUGGAGCAGAUUGCUCUCAAAAUAAAUAGUUCAGUACACUUCCCAGCAUAGCUCUUUGACUGGUUACUUUAGUCUACCUGUUCCAAACACACGUCUUUCAGGGCUAUCCUUUUGCACAUCAGAUGCACAGUAAACAGUAGCGCAUCUCAUCUCAACAGUAAAAGUGUGUAUAUUUCCUUGCUAUUUUUUUGUCAUUUCUGAAGAACUUUUCUGUACCAAGAACACAAGCAGGAACACAGGUUACAUUUGCUGCGUGAGUUUCUAUCCCGCCUUUGCAAUCAGUAAGUCUUUCCUUUAUAGGGUAAACCAAAGCAGCAACAUUUUUGUUCGCUUCCUCACAUACUAUUCAUUUCUUCAUCUAAUAAGUAUAUAUUUUCGCCAAACGACCAUAGAAUGAAUCGUUUCUUGGCUAUCCAAACAAUCUAGCUUGGGUUGGAGUCACCAUUCUUGGCCCUCUGUCUUGCCUCUAGAGUUUUCACAACCUGUGUCCAAAAUAUCGCUAACCCAUGGAUCCAGGAGCAUUGGUUUUGACAUUUCUUGCAACGAAACCCCAUCAGAUUAGCUGAACUAUCAUGACCACUAUGGGGUCUCAGUAUCUCCAAAACCUAUAAUGAGAAAACCGAGAUGAAAUUUGAAACUCAGUAUGACCGGAAGGAUUAGUGUGAAGCCCAAUACUUCUCUUACCACAAAGAUGUCGGAUUUGAGCUGGAGGGGGGCCUGAAGGUUGGUUUUGCUGUGAUGACCUACAUUUUUCCUAAACCGGUUGCAAUGCGGGACUUAGGACUAAUACUGUGGCUGCUUCCAGAAAUGGAACUGGUCUGGAAGUAAAAUUCAGCCAGGACUAAUUUACCAGCGCAACAGGACGACAAACUUUUUAAAAACUAUUUAUGGAACGUGCAAAAAUGUGCAUUUAAGGCGUGUCUUUGCUACUUAAACGGUGCAUAAUCUGGCCGCACAGUAGGUUUCAAAGGGCAAAGGAGGACGUUCAAAUCAACAUGGGUGGCUUGAGAAGAGAGCAAGAGCAACACUUGUAUGACAACUUGAGAGUUACUCAGUAAAAAUGGCAGUGAAGGAUUUUUAGGAUGAACCAGGUGUUUUCGCUCUUCUCCAGACAUGCUGGCAAGGGUAUGAAAGCUCUUUUGAAAGUGCUUGCCUCUCAAGCAAUUUCCAACUGUGGCUUUCAGAAUGAUCUGUGGAACGAACAUCUGGCGGGUCAGGUAAGAGGGAUUGUAUUAUGUCUCCUAAUUAAUCAUAGGUUCUUUGGGUGUACCGUGAAUUCAACUAAUCAGUGUCAUCUCCCAUUCCCUUUGGCCUGCACCUGGCACCUCAGUACUAAAUGUGGAAUUGGAGAAUCCAACAUGCUCUGGAGUUAUUUGAAACAUCUGGAUGAGUGCAGAGGUAUGUAAGCACCGUCCAUACAAGGCGUGAAAACAACGCUCAUCAACAUACACUCAGUUGAUGAGUUUUUCUCAACAAAAUGAUGUGGGUGCAUCUUACUAUCUGAAAAAUGUGGCCUUGAAAUAGCAGGAAAAUACGGCGCCAUGGAUUUUGAAACAGACUAUCACCAUCUACUGCCUGAGCAAAGUGAAGCAUUGACAAUGGGCCCAACCACACCUCACUUUAGACCAACACACCCAUGGGCGCACAGAUGGGAAAACAGAUGGGUGCAUUUGAUUCUUACACAACUUGAGAGCUGUGCAUGGAAAUUACACUGAAUCAGUCAGAAAUUAGCAAUUAGAGUUGCCCUACGCAAUGCGCUGCUUUGUGAAAAACACGGCCCUUUAUAUUGGCGUUAAAUUUCUUUGGGUCAACAGCAUGAUGAAUGCUACAGUGACUGAUAUUUUAUACCAUUUAGGGGAUGUUUUUCAGUUGCAGGACUGUAAUUCUUAAUUUAAUUAUGCACACUGUUUGUUAAAAAGAAAAACUGUGCAUACACAGACACACAGCAACACAUACAUAGAUAAAUUCAUUCACCACUCCUGGCCUUGAGCUUUGUCAGCUCUGUAGAACAUCAUGUUGAUAAGCAAAGGAGCGCUGCUAUCACAUGGCCUCUCUCCUCUAGAGUGAAAGAAUUGCCAGAAUAUGAAAAAUAACUGUAAUUUGAAUGAAUAAUAGACUAUCCUCCAUACACAUGCACAAACAAGUUUGAGGCUUGUUCUAACACAUUAAAUGAGCUAUGCUCAAAUCCCACAGUACAUUGUGGAAAGUGAAGGUUGACAAACAAGUGCUUUUCUGUGGUCCUCGCCAGGUAAUAUUGCCCAGAGCAAAGUGAAUAUUUAGAACAAUAAAAGCAAAUCCUAAAAAAUUGUAUUAUUUUUGUAAAUUCCAUGUGACCCAGUAUUUACAGAUGAUUAUAUAUCAGUCUGUGUACGUAUCUUAACUUUAUCUCAAUUCUUUCUGUAAUAUAAGUAUUUCCUUUUGGGAUCAAAGUUGACGUAUUUGCUUGAUUUUACCUCCUUAACCAAAGACUUGCUCCAUUAGUAUGAGACAAUAUGACACGGUUGUUUUUAUGUUUAAAAAGCCAACAUAGAAACUACAGUAUCACUCUUCUGUUGGUUGUUUUCAGUGUGAACAGAAGCAUGAAGGUGAACCUUUGGCAGCCCUACAAAUCCAUCCUGUACCCUUGAAAAUCAAGAAUGGCCAGUUCACACAACAACUUAUCGCCCAAAGUGAACCUGACGUCUAAUCAACACCUACAACCCUCCCCUUUGCCGCAUGUCCAAGUGAGACUUUGAAAGUUGUGCCAAACCACACCCUUCCUGCUGCGUGAGAGACUGUAGUGGUGGAGGGGAGAAGUGAGAGAUAUUUUUUAUUAAAGCCCCUCAGAAACUGAUGUAAUGUGUUGCCAUUGGAUACCUGUGAAGUGUUGUUGAAGCCUCAUGUCCCUGUCGUGACUCGGCCUGUAUCACGGCUUAUUCUCCUACAGUGACUGCGUCCCGCACUGUUGUAUUCCACAGUUUAGCAGAGUUGUUAGGUACCUUUUUUUUCUUUCUUUGGCCUUGUAUACACCUGAAGAAUAGUACAACAUCUGUUUCAGUUUGUGAUCCAACAUGCCGCUUUUCACCUAACAACCCCGAAGGCAUCCAAUCCAUUACAUUUCCAUCUUAAGGGCCAAAAUGUCCGUCCAAUCGAUCAGUGUUUUGCAUCAUCUGUAUCUGUAGAGCACUGUAGAAAUCCGUCAUCACAUGGCUCCCGCCUUUUAAUGGGCCACUCCUCCUUUGUCACCAUUCAACAGGAGAUGAAUCUAGUCUUUGUCAAAGAGGCUCAGUGUUAAGAUGGUGAAAGAAGCUUAUCAAUCUGGUUCUGCUGGCGCGCAAUAAUCAAUUACAGGUGCAUACGAGUGACCUUGAAAUGGAUUGAAUCAGAAGAAAUACAAUGAGAGGAUUGGAAUUGCACACACUUGUGUAAUACCGCCAAGGAUUCUCGACACACUGUGCUAGAAACAGACUGAAUAAGACGGUGCGGAUAUAUUUUUCCCCUGCUCAAACCUAAUAUCUUCCUGAAAUGCACCGUCUCCCCUGGCCUUAUCUCCCUCUCUGCUCUCUGAGCUGUAAUUGUCGAUGAGAAGCUUUUGGUGUUGCUGUUCCACCAGCAAUAGCAUGCAGAACGUGUAUCCAUCAAUCUGUUCAGUUCUCCCUGAGCAGUUCCUUCACAGAAAUCCGUUUAGGGCUUUUCUUAUUGAGUGGAGUGCAGUGCAGUCCUUCUGGGGCUGCAGCUCUCUAACCUAGUUCCCCCUCGGUGUCUUUUCAAAGAAGCCGUUCCUAUUUGUAAAUACAUGUGCUCACUAGGUAGAAACAGAAGAAGGGCCAAUGAUAUAGGAGACAGACAUUAAUUAAGUGUGGAUAUCUAUUCAUAAUCCUUUCAUGCAGAUUUUAAAGGCACUAGCUUGCACAGUGCAUUUCUACCUGCACAAAAUUGCUGCUACCCUUCAUAUGAAAGUAUUUUUACUCUUUUAUACCCAUUUAAAUGAAUGACUAUGAGGUAUAAAUCUAAAUGUAUAUGAAGAUUUGGUUUGCCUUAAUGAUGAAGCAUCCACUCCUGUUCCUAAUGAGCUGAAAACACAAAACAGGAAUUUCCGUUAAAUUCAAGACUCUCGAACGACUCCUGAAGGCACCGUUUUCUCCCCUUGUGUGUUCCUACUGAUGAAGGUAUCUUUAAUUGGGAGAAAUGCUUUUUUUCAUCAGUUGUAGUCAUGAUACAUUUUACAUGACAAAUUAAUUUUGAAACAGAAGAAGACAUGGCAGGCUGCUCAGGCCUGUUCCAAGCACGUUGACUUAAUUGGUGUGUCAGUGACUAUCACAGUUUUGAACAUGUUGUGCGUUGAUAGACACUUUAAAUGCAUCUGCUUAAGUCAGUAGAAUGCAAGGACUUGCUGUAUUACCAUCCACAUAUGCAGUCUGUACUCAUCCUCACCUCGUAAUUAUGGAUGAAAUGUACAGAAAGGUACUUUACUGUGCUGGUCACACUUGAACAACCUACUCAUAACCCUUUAUGUAACGACCAAGCUCUAAUACUGUCACUGGAGUGUAGUAACUUUAUCUCAAUUAUUCAUUUAAAUUAUUCCCCGGCAACUUUCUAAGGAGAAGGUGGUGGAAGAAUUUCAAUUAUGUGUGACGGUGCACACCUUUUCUUCCUAAAGCUUUUUAUGAGCUUUCAGAAGAAUGAUGAACUUGAAUGAACACAGCAGAGAAGGAAUUGUUGUUGCAAGAAGUACUGUGUGUGCAUGUUUUUAUUCUGGAAGCACAAUGAAUGAUGCUCAACAUUUUGUAAAACAAUGCAAUCUUGUUUGUAUAAAGCGUUUUCCCAUGACUCCUCUUUGUGGAGAAAACAGCAAUGAUGUACAUAGAUUAGUUGCUAGCAAGGUGAGGAUUCUUGAAAAAGAGCUCAUUAAAAUAGCUCCACCAUGAGGAAGAAAAAUUGUCUUGUUGCGAUAUGAAGACUUUGAUCCAAUUAAAUGUGAUAUCAGCAGCCCAAGGUAGACUAAAUUGUGUGCUGGAACUGGAAAUACAGUCUUUGUCUCAAAUUGCAGAAAAUGAAAAAAUGGGUCCCAACAUCUGUAUUUGUCCCAAACUCAAAGAUCCUCUUCUUAAAUACGCAGUUCUGGAGGAUGAAUACAGUGUAGUCCUUUUUCCGUGUUAGAAGACACAUUUGUAAAAAUGCCAUGAAUGUUAUUGCACGGCAAAAUUUCCACUGAUCAAAAAACAACCCGUAAAUCCACCCCAUUUUUUUUACGUUGUUUAAUUACGGUGUUUCCAAAAGGCAAAAGGUGCUGUUUGGAUCUUUUAACACACACUGUGCAACUACUUAGUGAUAUUGGUGCUUGAACAGUAGCAUCUGGGUGAGGCUAUAAUUCUUGUAAAUCAGGGAUCUCACAGCCAAGAAGAAAGCAGUGACCUGACAAACAAAUGAGGAAGCAGGAUGUAGCACUUGUAUAAAACCAAAAUGCUAAUUCGCUUUUAAUUGCGACCUGAUACACCAACAGGAUUGAUAGUGUCUGUUUAAAAGCCCUGCAAGGUGUUCAUUUGAAAGGGCAGCUUCACAAAUCAUUCUUAAUUUGUGCAAUAUCGUCAUAAUUACAUGGUUUUAUAUAGUUUGUUAUCUGUAUUUCUUUUUGUAACUUAUUUAAGGUUAUUUGUCUAGAACGACCCAGGUCCAAGCUAAUGUCCAUAUAUUGAUAUCACUACAGGCCACUACCUCUUCAGCCAGAAAAAUCCAGCCUUCUCUCCAAGUAACCCAACCUUUAAUCAGCUACUUACAUCUGCAGAAGUAAUCGUUAUCUCCUUGGCAUUGAUCAACACAUCACUCUCCUGCAGGUGCUUUAUGGUUGUCUCGUGCCACUGGGAAACACAUGAAUGCGCCUUCAAAGAAUGAUUCUACUAUAACCAAAUGAUUCUGCCAAUUACAAAUGUCCCGCUCCUACAUCAGCCUUUGCAGCUCGACGAUUCCUCCCUGUUUGUGUUCUCCGAGCGUUCCUCUGGUAGCAUUGGGCCCUAUGGUGCUUGCCGCUUCCUUGCGGUCUCUCCAUUAGGCGCCUAACAGAGCGUUGGGCUGCGGCUGCUUUCUCCCUCAAUGCCUCCAUCUCCCUGUCGUCCUUCAGGUCUCAUCGCCCUCGCAAUGGAGGAUCCAUCCGCCACGAUCCCAGGACACAUAUUGUCCUCCAUUACCCAUUCUCACAGCCCACUGCGUUCAAAGCCCACUUCCAGGACCCGUACAUGAGCAUGUUUGCAUGUGUGUGGAUGAGUGUGAGUGACUCCGCAACCAAGGACAGUAAGUCAGACCUUGUUGCGGUACCCGAACACAUGCAUUUUACACACACACACACACACACACACACACACACACACACACACACACACACACACACACACACACAGAAAGAAAGAGUGGGAGUAGGGGGAGGGAGAGAGGGAUCAAUAGGCCAUUUUAAAGGGUUUUGUUUUUAUCUUGAAUGAAGUCGAUUUGUAGAUUCCUUACACAUUGACUGAAUGAAAGACCUUCAGUGCUCACACCCCUGAGCCAUCACAUAAAAACUAAACAUCUGCUUUAAACACUCCCAAGUCAACCAAUAGAAUUGUUGAAUACUUGGCAAUGAGCAGGUUUUCUUUUUUCUUUAAUAUAUAACAUCAGAAGUGUAAACCAGCCAUUAAGGGCAAAAACAGUUUUUUAAUGAUUUUACCUUUUAAUGAUUACUUUUUGGGCUCCCUUUAUAUUUUAGUCUUGUUUGUAUUGUUUGUAUACUUCCUAUCUUCCUACAUAAUCCAUGUCUUUGUUUGGUGCUAAACAUCUAAACAUUAAGGUGUUUUUCUUCCUCAUACAUCUCUAGUUUUUUUUAUGGUCAAAUCUAUUCAUAUUCAGUCUGAUCUGAAUUUAAGGAGUAAAUAUGGUCGUUUGGUCAUUCUUACUUUGUGGCCAAACAACACAUAGGUAAGGUAUCACAUUGUUUUAUCCACAGGAUACAUUUAAAAACUGUGAAAUCCCUCAGUCAUUUGGUGACGUAGAUGCUUAUCUCAACUGAGUGCACAAGUGAUCAUACUUGCCAGUGAACUCCAACAAAUAACAGUGAUGAGACAAAUUUUGGAUGAGAUUUUGAAGGAAAAUACCAUGUAAAAUACCAUGUACCAUGAAUGGCAAUGAAAGUGAAACCUCUUGGUCAAGAUGAACACACACACGCACAACACACAUAAACACACAGCACAUCGGCUUCUGGCUUUAUGACAGUAGCAACGAUCUGAAUUCAUUUUGGGAUGUCUUAGGUUUUAUUUUGGGAUUUCAUUUUUUUUAUUGAGAGCACUGAACGGACAUCUCUAAUGUGCAUCAUUAAUAAUUCGCUGGACGACGUGGUAAACCUUGCGGUAUUUUUAAUUUCGCAAAUGGAAAUAAUGACUCAUUAGUGCAAAGCAUUUGAUCAGAGAAUGCUCUAAAUUUUUGUGUACACAGCAAGUUAUCUGAGACAGCUGAUUAGCUCUUUGGAUUUCCAGCCUUUGCCCUGGCAUGGGACCAUCUGCGGCACCACACCACAUUUUUAACGUGCCACAGAAUCAUCAAUAAUAAAAAUCCAUUAUAAAUUGUUAAAUUAAUUCAUAAAGUUGUAUUUUAGAGCGGUUUGGCUACACCGAAGGGUGACGUUUCUCACUGGUGUAUUACCACCAACCAACAUUACACAUUCCAACAGAAUUAUUUAAUGAAGGAAGAUAAUAUGGAUAUAGCUAACGACACAAAAGCAAUCCUCAUUAAGCAUACUUUUGUUUGGAUGGUAUGGUAUAGAAUGUGUGUCAAUGAAAAGGGGACCUUUCCAUUAGGAUAGCCAUUCAGUCUACUUCCAAAUAAUGAAUAACAACCUUUGAAAACUGACAUUUUGUGGAUUUCUGAUUAAUCAUGUUGUGAGAGAUAUUACAGAGAAAAGAACAAAGCUUUAGUAAAGUAAUGGAAUUACUUUAGGUAUAGUAGGCAGACUCCAAGUCAAAAUCUGGCUUGAGAACCAACACAGAAUGUCAGUGACAUUUGUCUGUCAUGUUGAAUGUGAAGGCUAACAAUAGUAUACCUCAGGGGCAGAUCACACUUAUCUUGAGUUUUGCAAAGUGCUUGUGAUGACACAGCUUCUAUUUGACUAAUAAUCUUUGCAUCCAGCUUGUCUAAAUAGGACUGAAAUGACCAGCAUCAUCAUCAGGGUCUUAGUACUGUGCCAGUUCUUCCAAAAAAUAAUAAAUAUCUAUAUCUAAACUAACGGAAAUGCAAUAAAAUUUAGAUUUUUGUGAUUAAUUCAAUGGCAUACAAAGUUGCAAAGCUGCAUCCCAUCUCUCAAUGGGAUGUUUUUCAUGGAGAUGAAUGGAACACACAUCUGAGAAGCUGAGCAUACCCCCAAUCUUGCCACAGCGGGCAUCCACUUUUAUAGUUACUCAAACCUCAGUAAUGAUGCAUACAUAACCCCAAUGUAAUGGUGAGAAUAUCAUAUCUCCUCCCGUUAACAUCACUUCAAAUUUGGCACACAGCUAAUUCGAUAAUGAAAGAUAAAAUCAAAAUCUGGCAGCUCUGUUAGUGUUAACAUCCAUCCUGGUGCUUAUAAGUAGAGACUGAGCAUGAAAGAAAAUGUAAGAGCAGCUGUGGGGAGAGGAAGCUUUCGUGGAUUAAAUGUGAGUGGCAGACAGGAGGGGAGUCAGACUGGCACAGAGGUAGGAGGCUGUGGAGAAGAUUCACACAACCAUGAGGAAUUACAUAAUAGCUGGGGACGGGGAGGAGAAGGCCUCAGCGGGUGGGGGUGCUUCCUGUGAAUUGCCAGCUACAUUUAUGAACAGCGGCAUGCUAAUGAAGGACUUGAUAAGACAACAGAGCUGGAGUGAAGUGCAAGUGCUCUGCUAAGGUGUAAUUUCUGCAAACCUAUCCCUUUUUAUGUCCUUUAAAAAGUCAUGACAGAGAACCUGUAACAGGACUUUCACAGUAUACGAUAUUACAAGCUACAGCUACAUACUAAAUGAGCUCAGUUUAAUAAAGCAUGUUCAGUUCAUAUGAGAUAGCAUGAGCUAUGGACUAAGAGUCAAUAAGGGAAGGAAUAGGGCAUUAAUACUUUGCACCCUUCUCCAUUUUACGAAAUACAUAAUACCCACGAGUGCUUAAUCUGUGACUGGUUACAUUGUUGGUGGAUGAUCGUCAUGGUAAUAAAACAUAAGAGUCUAAGGAAAAUCAAUACUACCGAUGGAGACCAUUUACGGUUCCAUUAUUCCAGAUUCAUGACCUACCACCACCCGUGCUGUUGUUGCCCCCCUGGCUAAGUCUCACUGUCACUCACAUUUGCUCAUUAAGUUCCAAUCACACGGUACUCCGGGCUAUAAUUUUGCAAGCGCUUGGUGGCACUGCAGAUGUCACAUAAUGAUUCCCUGCCUACAUCCUGCAUAAUUCAAUGUAGGUGCAGUUGACAGAGUUUACCCUUGGCAGUGAACUCACUAUGUAAACUGAUGGUAGAUUUUGGUCAAGCUUCCGAGUUACUGUUCAGUUUUUUAUCAGAAUAAAAAUUGUAGCCACUGCUGGUUCCAUUUCAUAAGAACCAAUGAAUAUCCCCGUAAAGAAAUCAACCUUCUACUUUGAUGACAUACAGUCUUGUCAGAGACCUGCAUCUCAGAUUGUACAUCACAUGAAGGACUCAGGUCUAAUAUGCAUGUAUUAUCCCUUUAUUUUCAUGCAGUAAGAGCAAACAUAUGCCUAGCUCUGAUUUCAUUGUAGGACAGUGCUUGGUUGAGAUUGCUUCAUCCUCUUCAAGUGGCAUUUGCAGUCAAGGACUUCAAAGAGUCGACAUAAAUACUAUACGAAUAAGGCUUCAUCCAUGGAACAAAUCUAGGUUUAGGCUUCAAGGCCCAGUUGAACUGAGGCAUCAAAAAAGUAUGAAGACGGGCAAAAGGCUGUAUACGUAAUAAGAGUACAAUUAAUAAGCUUUUCAUGGUUGUGAUUGAAUAUGAAGACUCUCUCAGGCACGGCAGUAAACGAAUAUCAAAGUGUAACGUGUCAGCUGCCAUAACCCUGAUUUUAAUUGACAAGUUAGUUAAGUUCAGGCUCUAGGGAAGCAAAUAAAAUCAUUCCUAGCCAAGAAAGAUAGAAAACCGGGAAAAAAACAUGCUUUCGUUCCAACUGGUUAAAACACACAUUUUUAACCAUUUGUGUACAUGCACAGAGCAGAAUGAGAAUAGCCACAGGAGAUGUUUGCAUUCAUUUAAUGAAGACAUGAUCCUAAACCCAUGAAAGUAGCCCCUGGAGGCUGGAAUAUUCAUUCUACCUGCAUUUACGAAGUCAUUCUCAUGUAUGAACUUCACUGUAAUUGCAUGUGGGGGGUUUUAAGACGCCGCUGGCAAUGCUGAGUUCACGAAUGCAUUUAUUUUAUAAAUUUUUAUUCAAAAUUGGACCGUAUAGGAGGGCCUAGGUGAAAACAUCAUAUUUGUGCUAAAAGUGUCCAGAGAAUGAAUUUGUUUAAUUCAGACCCAACAAAAGGGCAAAGGGCAGUCCUUCAAAAUGUCCUUACUGGUGACCAGAGUAAAUUGGAUUUAAUAUUACAGGUCCCAUAACACAGAGGGAAGUAAAAGUAACUCUUUCGUCUUAACAAAAAAGUCAGGCAUAAUCUGCCUUUUUACAUCAUUCUGUGAGCAACCGUGAUCUGAUUUCAUGCUGAACAUGGCAUGAGUCAGUGAGCAGUGAAAGUAUACUUGCUUACCUCGCUGAGAAGUUGAAGGUGUGCAGCCUGUCGCCUACAGCUUUUCAUCUAACUCACUGAGACUGCUCCUUGUUGCAUUAUUCUCAACAAUAGUUCAAACUGAUCUGCUGUCAAGGAACUGCAGAAAAUGACCGCUGUCCUGUUUUGUGGAUACAUUUUUCAGUGUUCGAGCUUACUGACAAAUCCAUUGCAUUUCCUGCAGAGGUACAAGAAAUCCAAACACCCACCCGGAUCAGCUAAUAAAUAAAACCAAAAUAAAGAAUAAAGCAAGUAUGGCAUGCAAAUUGACAUCACGGAAUGCUUAUUAUAUAUAUAUAAAUAUAUAUGUAUACAUAUAUAUCUCACAAUAUAUACCCCUUUAAUGUAAAUAUGUAUGCAGAAAAGAAUCAAUUCAAGAUUGUAUCUUGAAUUGUAUCUUAAGUUCUACAUCUACAAGUUAAAAAGGAGCUGCCCUGUGCCAUAUGAUAUUGCAAGUUGUUUGGGGCUUGGACUCCAUCCUGCCGCAGGAUAGACCAGGGCCGAGACCUCGAGCCGAGACGAGGCAUAUCCUGGUGUCUAGUGUCUCCCAAAGGGGGAGACACUAGACACCAGACACUGGUGGUGGUGGUGGUGGUAGAGCCCAAGUUGCAUAACUCUGAGAAACCAAGGCAAAGGUUAACAGGACAAUGAAAGAGGAAGGUCUAGUUGAACCACAGGGGCCAGGGACACAGGGGCCAGGGAAGCCGCAGGACAUAGCGAGGGUCUAGCUGGACCACAGUGAGGCAUGGUGGUUUUUCAAAAGAUCCCGAAGUAAAAGAGAGGGUCUGCUAGACCAAAGGACAGGUUAGGUUGGGGGUCGAAGUUGACCGCAGACAAGGACAGGUUGUGGUUGUGUAAGUCCGCAGACCAGAUAGGGGUGGUCAUGGCGGACCGCAGAACAGGGCAGUCAGGGUCAGAGGGAGACCGCAGAAUAGACUUAGUUGCGGAGGGCCCCUCACAGAACAACUUGACCGGACCAUGAAGCAGAAAGGUAGUCAGCUUGACUGGUCCCGUGAGACCGCGAAACAGAGUGUUGUCAGCUUGACUGGUCCAUCUGGACAUCUUUUGGGAAAUGGAUGUGGUCCCGUUAGACCAGGAAACAGACAUGUUAAGCCAGGUAACGUCAAACCUAGGAAACACAGACACGUUAAGCCAGGUCACGUUCACCUAGAAGAUUAGAUUUAAGGGAGACUGUAAGGAACAAUGGUGGUCCCCUGCAAGGGGACACUGAAGUGCCCUUCCAACAUUGCCAGAAGGGAAAACACCACCACCAGCACCAGUUAUAGGCAUGCUUACCAGCUCUUACGGCUUCACAGAUCUUUUCUUGAGAGUGCUUUGCUUUGCUUGCUUGCUUGUUAUGGUCAGAGCGAAAGUGAAACGUCACAGCAGACGGCGACCACCACCCUCAACCCUCACCAUCAGCUGCCGGCUUGUCACAGGAAUGCCUUGGUUAGCUGCUGCAGCUCUAGCAGUUAUUCUAAAGGCCGGCGCAAGCUUCUGCGUUUGCAUCUGCUGCGUUGCGUCGAUGCACUCGUUUCAAUUCAUGCUUCUAAAAGGCGGAGUAACGUGUUUUGUUGAAGCCGACCUAGAGAGUCACGUCUAUUUAUUUAUUUGUUUAUUUAUUUAUCAUAGACUUUAUUGUCCCGUGCAUCGCCACUGCUGCUUUUCAUCGCGGACACAUUUGUCCCGUAUUUUCCUCCACAACUAUGUGCACCUCUCGACCGGCAAACCGGCGUUUGCGGCGAUCUCCCUCCAUGAAUCCAACCCGCUUAUCCAACCCGCCAAUGACGGCUUGUAAAAGGGGUCAUAUUUACGCAUUUCUAGAAAAAUAGCUCGACACACGCAAGGACGCAAGGAGGUGUGAAAAUUGACGCAAGGGACAUGCAAGGGGGGCUUGCGUCUGCGUCGCUCUGAAAACGCAGAAGCAUAAAUCAGGCUUAAGUUGAGAAUAAUGGGGAGGUGGAUCCUGAGAUGUUGUGGUAUAGAUUCAAAACCAGCACGGCGGAAAUCAGUGCGAGCCACCCGCCAGCGAGGGCCUCCAUAUUGGGAGUGUGUAGGACCGCCUCUAUUAGAGCUCUGGAGUACGCGCCACGUCCGGAGCAGCAUGGCCGGCCAUAGGACGUCUGGAGACCAGAAUUGCAGAGACAGUUAGCAACCUAACACGGUGAUGUGAAGCUAGCGUGUUUCAGAGAACUUAAGAAGUUAACAUCAAACUCGACAGCUGGUGCUCAACCUGCGAAGAUAGGGCAGUUAACAUGCAGACCAGCAGCAAAGCAGAUAGCGGCUGCCGUAGCCAAGUAGAUCACCACUCUGUUCAUGACCCCAGUUUUAAGAAACAUGCCGACUCUUGCUUCCCCAUAUCCAUGAGGCAUGACUGGAGUCCGCUAAAAGGUCGCGUUAGGCUAGAAAACGCGGUGUUAGCUUGACUGGUCCGGUUAGCCCGCACCAUCUCCGUGAAGUCAGCUGGACUGGUCACAUAAGACCACAAACCUAACUUGAUCCCAGGUUGGAAGGUCAACUGACGGACCUCCUUCUUCAGAACUGCAAACGGGUCAGGUGAGACCAGAUUAUUUUAAGAGUCUAUCACUGCCAUGCAAGGACGUUUAGGGCCACGAGCGAAGAUCCCGUUGAAUAAACGGUGCGGACUACUUAGGGCUGAAACAAACAUUGCAUGAAUGAUACUACGGCCACCGGGCAAACGAAAUCCCGAUAUACAAGAACCUAUGUGAAUGAUGACAUUAAUAAAUGCAUGACCUUUUAAGGCUUUCCUGAACUCAUCAUCCUUGAAGUUGGUGAAUGUGGGGGUUGCAGCAGCCCAACUUCCCAUUGGUGGCAGGGAUGAAAAGGAGAUACCUUGGUUUGUGGUUGCAGUAGCUGCCCCUAAAAUAAUUCCCUGAGUACUGUUGGGGCUAACUUCAAAGCCUUUUACCCGUAGUUGACGCAUAUUAGUUACCACGCAUAUUAACGACCCGCUUGAUUGUCACACCAAAUGGAAUCAACUGAAAAAGGGAAGCCAUGGUCUGGCCUGCCGUGGCUUGAUGGAACCCCCCAAAACACACAGCUGGCCUGUAUCUGUCUUAACAUUGCUGCACCCGAAAGCCGCUGUUGGAGCCGUUACACUAUCCCAUUGAACCCACUGCCAUCCAACACUCUGUCAGUACGGCUCCUGUCCCCAGCUUUAGUUGAGGAGGUUGGGACAAAUAAGACGGCAUGUCCACCUAGCAGCAUGUGAUGCGUAUGGCAACACUAAAGCAACACCAUUGCGCUGCAUCUCAGACCAACUUAAAGCUGCACACCUUCCUCAGCAGCUUAGCCUUUGGAAGAAGUCGCACAGUUGGCAACUGCAAUUGUGAUUGUCAACCUGUCACUAGCACAACGACGCAGCCGAGGGCUAAUCUUCUCUUUCUCUACAUUUAUUUAUUUAUUUAUUAUUUUUCAUGACACGUCACCAUUGCUACUACCUCUGGUGCACGCACGUGCAACAGGCGCCUGCUGUUAUUGCUUAGGAUUCUGUGGACGAUCGCCAAACAAACAACCCGUGAACAGCUCCGUUUCGCAUCGUGUCGAAGUGUUAGCUGCUUGUGUGGAAGGCCUACCCCGUGGAAGACCCGGCACUGCCGAUGCCGCGCUCCUUUGCUCUGCGUGGAUGUUGAGGGUUGACUUGUCAUACAGAGGUUGUUGCGUGAAGCCCCGUGGCUGCGAUGCUGGUUCCCGUGCUCGAACGGGCUCGUAGUAAACCAGAUGUCGCAGGCGAGCCUCAAUGUCCAGUGCCUUAGUUACCUGCAAGUAACGGGACCAUUCCUAAAGGCUACCGAAAUACGAUUGUGCUGCCGCUAAAUUCGCUGGCACCGUAUUAUAAAAGCAAUAAGGCACCUGAGCAGCACUUAUCCUCACCCAUGCACCCGCAGUGAAUUCUUCUAGCCCGGAAAAUUACAAGUUCAAACUACCCGAAGUAUCAUUAAUACGUAGGUCAACGUCCCCCUCUGAAGCGCUUCUCUGCUUUGCGCUUCCGUACUACUCUCCAGUAAAACUAUUACUCCCGUAGUUCGCGCUGAAAUCGCUACUCAGUCCUGAAGGAGUCUAACGUUGACUCAUGCCACCUCUCACAGUAAACAACUUUAUACAUUACAUUACACCGCGCAACUAAGGUCUCGUUGAUGCCAGAGCUGCGUUCUCAACCGUGGAGCUGCUAUUUUACCCUCCCAGAGCGUCGCCUCCCGACGCCGCGCUGCCUCACAUGGAGGCAGGUAGCCUCGCGGAGCUUCAUCUGAGCCGUUUAGUAUCUGCAUGCCCGCCCGGUGGACGAUCGGGGACUGCGGAUGCCUGUGAAUCGCCGAGCCGCUUCAAUCUGCGUGGCUGUGGAGUGACGCUUGCCAUGCUGAGUGUUGAGGGCUACGCUGCUGCUUGCUGUUGACGGAAUAUCUGCGCGUUUCCCAGCGUGGAGAUGACGGCGGUGUCCGACCUCGAUGGCCCAGAGUAUCUGGGGGAGAACACGUCCGGGUGCAGCGCUCUCCCGGUUAGACGUAGUGUGCUUGUCGCUCCCUCACAGCGCGAACGGUAACCUCUUAACCACACGCCGAGUGUUUGCUGCCAGGCUCUUAAUAAAACAUUAAUUUGUGCUUUUGCUUAUUGUGGUUCUGGUUCUGUUCCCUAUGAUGAAUGCGCGUAUUGUCCCUUAGGAAACAAGCUUCUGCUGAAUGAACGUUACAUGUAACAUAAUGGGCUGCUUGCGCUUCUCUCGUCCUCCCCUGUGCUGGUGUGGGUGGCAGGGAGGAAUCAACUCGCUCUCUGCCAGCUGUGAGCCUCACCCACUCACACCUGGACAGAGGGAAGCUUGGUGCUUACACCACUUGCUGCCUCGUAUGCGCGUGCUACCACGCCUGCUGCUCGGCGGCUCGGUUUGUUGAGCUAGUUCCACCACAAUCGAUCAACGUCCAAUCGGACCUUCGGAGUUGACGGCAACACUGUGGUGUAGGACCCGCUAACUGAACGCUACGCUUCACCUUUGAGCGUGCUGAAAUGACAACUGACAGAAAAAGAGAGAACAGUUUUUAACGUUUGCCUGCACCAAUGCGAUUGGUUUACGGUAACGACACCCACGUCUGAUACUACCCGACCCCGCCCCUAAUCAGCUGGCCGUGCCCCCCCAGGGAGAGAGGAGGCCACCAGGGAACGGCACAGCCUGUCCAGUCUUUCUGACUGAAUUUUCGCCUAAGUUUCAUUUAAUAAUAGUUUACUUUGUAAAGUGCUUUUCCAGUACGUCUCCACUUCUGAUUAUUUGUCGGGAAUAUAAAGUGGAAGGAUGAGAGUUCGACGUCCAACCUGUAGAAUGCGAACUGAAACGUGCGUUUUCUUUUUUGUUCUUUUUUUGCAGGCUGGUGUUGGCUUAGAAAGAUUUAAUCACAGUAACCACAAUUAAUCAUUCCGUGUAAUGAUGUCACUGCUGUUUGGCAGCAAUUUUCAAAUCAGUGGCUGCAGGUGGGAAAUGCACAUCCAUCCUGUUGCCUCGCCUCAAAUGGCUGCAGUGUAAUGAACACACAAGACUAAGGUUUUCACGUAUAGGGCUUCGUCGAUAACAAACUUUGUUGUAGUCAAAGGGCAUUCUCGCAUUAUGUAACUCCUAUCACAGAUUUAACAUAUGGAGCAAAUCCCAUAAAUAAUUAAAGUGAGUGACGUGGUAAUAAUGUUGAUGCUUUCUAUGUCCAGGGCACAAAUGCUUCACUGCUUUAAAAAUAUAGUCUUUGCCGGGUGAUUCUUGACGUGGUACAACUCCCCAACUGCAGAGCUAACACAAAGCAGAUGAAUUACUUUGAUAGAGUGCAUUUUCUGGUACUGGUUCCAUCUACUCAAAAGUGAGCACUAUUUUUGCCAACACAUUUUACACAUUUUAUUCUUAAUAUUCCAAAAAAACAAGAAAACAAAUUGUUUCAUUUUCUAUUCUAUUGUAACUAUACCUCUGAAAAAAACUAAAUUGAAGAUCAUAAAGAGUCUAUUAGUCUUACUAGUUUUAGUGCAGUUUUAGUGCUUUGCAAAAACAAACUUAUCAGGCUCCCUCUGCCUCUCAUUAAAGGGCACUACUUGUGUGAAAUAGAGCAACCAUUAUGCAUUAUAACCCUAGUUCCACACGCACAGAGAAGGCCCUUUAAACAGCUUUUCUGCCUUUUCCAUUCUUUGCUGCAGACAUAAUGGAUAAAUAACAGAAUCACAGACUCCAUCAGGAAAGAUGAGCUCUAACAUUGUUUGGUUAAGCACGAGCAUAGAAAAUUUCAGUAUGCCUUGGAAAUGUGAGCUUAAUAGCAGGGAUGUACCAAUGCGGAUACAAUUGGGCCCGAUGAUAUUCUCAAAUUCUUCUACCCAAAACCGACCCUGAUGCAACCACAACCAAUAACACCACGGCAAAGUGGUUUUAACCUUUCGUUGGUGGAGCAAAUACUGAGUUGAACUACAGCCUGAUGCAAAAACAGGUUAAAUCCAUGAUUUACAUGUACAAAACAGGAAGUUGCCAGAAAUGUAGUUUUUCUGCCAAGUCGACAGCUGGGUGUCUGCGCUGCACACAUUAGGUUGACUAGUGUCCGGUCGAGAUUGAGAGCAUGAGUGACAAUGAGCACUAAAUCUUUGGCGGGAACCCCGGUAACUUUGGCCGUGGACAAUUCUGUGAUGCCUGGACAUGACGGUCCACUCUGGUGUUUAUCUCGAUAAAUGUGGGUAACUGCACCGAGACAUCCUCGCCGCACUGCGCCAGGCCGAGCAAAUAUGUGAACGAGGUAGUAGAUUGUGUAGACGAGCUCCAUUACACAAAUCUCUAACCUACAAAACACAGUCCGUAGUUGACCUUCUAAAGACGGCAGAUGGGAAACAGAGGGGGUGAGGCAAUACUCGUGGUCGCGGGACAGAGGGCCAGGGCGGUUUUCCGCGGCAGAGGCAAGGCCUGGAAGUCUGGCAUGACGCGAAGAACGAUCUGGCUGCAAGUGAGCGUUCGACUGGGGUUUAAAUACUGAAGGGGGAGUGCAGUAGGGUAGACAGGUGAGAGUGAUUGGGCUGACGGGAUGGAUGUGACUAGCAGGUGCACUGAAUAUACUGAACUGUGACGAUACCAUAACAUCUUAAAAGCUAUGGCUGCCAUUCUAUUCCGAGAGAGAGAGAGGUGGGGCGGGGGUAAAUUCUCCUUUAAAAAAAACGGGUUUCUAAACAUUGUUUUAAGUACAGUGAAAAGCCUUCUCUAAGUUGCUGAAUGAGAGGCAGUCAAAUGUGAAGAGUUAAAGCUGCUCAAAGAGGCUAACAUCAAUGAAGGCUAAAAAUCCCAUUUCCAUCUGGAUUUGAUUUAAAAAUGUAAACACACUUUGUUGCGACACAGAAAUCCCAGCCAUUUACCGAAUUGUCUACAGGCGUUAUCUAAUCCCUAAAACAUUCUCCCAGCCUGUCUCUUACCCCUUUACUUUUCCACAAAUGUUUCCCCACUCAUAAAGCAGAACUGAAUUGAACCAUAAUAUCCUAAACAUAAGUCAUGCAUAUAUGUUAAUAAAGCGGUUACAGAUAUCCCUCUAUCUCCCAAUUGGUCUCUCCUCUGGGAUCUGGCUCAAUCUCAUGACUUUCUUUGGCAAUUAGGUCCUUGGUGUUCUCAGCUGAAUGGCUCUUUUAUCAGCCACUAUGGCUUUUUUCUCCUUGCCGUCCCCCAGCUCAGUGUGAGAGGGGCUUGGAUGCACCCUUUCUGCUCCCCCUUUUCCCAUGCUCCAUUUCUUACCCUUCACUCCCCUCUGCUCUUCGCUUCUAGGGGGACUGCCGUCCGGUCUGUACGGAUGACCUGCAUCAUCAGCAGCAGCGCCGCAGCAAAUGGAUUUACUCUCCUUGGAGUUUCAUGAGAUGGCCGCAAACUCCUUCUUGUCUUCACAGUGACGCAUGGCUAUCUAGGUUCUUCUCACUUUCGCUGAUCCACGCCACGGGGCUGGUGGUAAAUGGGGAGACAUGAGUGAUCAUGCAGGGGGUUAGAAACUAUGACACUCGGGGAGAAUCACCAAGGUUAUGACAGCCAAAGUUGAAGGCCGUCUAAGGAAAUUACUGCAUGGGUUGCAGAUAUGAGGGAAAACCGAUUAGUAGUAAAUGUCACAUUUUCACCAAGCUGUGUAAAGUUGACGACUCGUAAUGUAAUUUAUGUAGUGUUUAGCCAGAUAUGGCUCCAUGUACACAAAGAAAUAUACAUAUGUUGAAAACAUCAAGAAAAUUCUUGAAUGUUUUAGAAGACAAAUGUGCUUAUUGGAUGCCAAUUAUUGAUGCAGGUCAUGAUACUAACAUGCACAUUGACUAAAUCUGUGAACAUUUGGAACUGUAAUUUGAACCAAUAAGCUCAACGUCUCAGCUUGAGAAGUACUUUGAAUUAUUUAUUAAAUGGAGGAUCCAUUUAACAAGGGAAUGGGGAAAUGUAAGUAAAAACUUCUGUUUAACAUAAUGUACAGCGCAUCACACACCAUACCCAUAUCAUACACAUGUGUUUGGCAACUGAGAGGAGAUGAUAAAAGGUUAUAAAUA
ensembl:lncRNA